AACUGGAGAGCGGGAACGCCGGUGAGCCGGCGAAGCUGAUCAGGCAGAGGUACAGGGAGGCCGCCGACAUCAUCAAGAAGGGGAAGAUGUGCGCGCUCUUCAUCAACGACCUCGACGCCGGCGCCGGGCGGAUGGGCGGCACCACCCAGUACACGGUCAACAACCAGAUGGUGAACGCCACCCUGAUGAACAUCGCCGACAACCCGACCAACGUCCAGCUCCCCGGCAUGUACAACAAGCAGGAGAACGCCCGCGUGCCCAUCAUCGUCACCGGCAACGACUUCUCCACCCUGUACGCUCCUCUCAUCCGUGACGGUCGCAUGGAGAAAUUCUACUGGGCGCCCACCAGAGAUGACCGGAUCGGCGUCUGCACCGGCAUCUUCAGAGCCGACAACGUCCCCAGGGAGGACAUCAUCAAGCUCGUCGACACCUUCCCCGGCCAGUCCAUUGGUGAGAAUGCCGCCCUCCCACCCUCCUCCUGCCAUCUGGCCUCGGCCGCCGCUGACCCUUCUCCUUCGUCUUCUUCCUGAAGAUUUCUUCGGCGCCCUGAGGGCGAGGGUCUACGACGACGAGGUGAGGAAGUGGAUCGUCGACAUCGGCAUUGAGAACGUCGGCAAGAGGCUCGUGAACUCGCGGGAAGGACCGCCGACGUUCCAGCAGCCGAAGAUGACCCUGGAGAAGCUGCUGGAGUACGGCUCCAUGCUGGUGAAGGAACAGGAGAACGUUAAGAGGGUUCAGCUGGCCGACAAGUACCUCAGCGAGGCGGCUCUCGGGGACGCCAACGCCGACGCCAUGAAGACCGGAGCCUUCUACAGUUGAGCAGCUCUAAUCCCCCAUUUGAUUGCGCACGCUUGGCCAACUCCCACCACCUUCCUUCCGAGUCGUCAUCCUAUUGCUGUUCUCACCCCCUCCCAACCCGCGUCAUCCCCCGCCGAGUCAACUCGGUGGGUCUACGGCAGCCGCCUUUCCAGUCUAUGAACGUGUCAGUUGCAAUACGAUGUACCAGCAUCUCAGGCAAACGGAGAGAGAAUUGAAUCUCCAUUUUAAGAGCCUUGUUCUCGGUAAAAUAUCAGAUGGGUCGCUUACAACGGGGAAUUAUUUUCGGAAUAUAUCAAGACAAAUCUUAAUAUCAACCAACAUCUUAUACUUGAACUCGUAAAAAAGUCAGAUGCAACAUCUAUAGACUUACAUGAUUCUUCAGGUGUGAUGAACACAUGCAAUCUAUAUUUGCACGUUUGGUCUCAAGGAAAAUGAUAAGGCAUCCACCAUGGUCAAACGGAAAAGUCAGGAUUCAAGGGAGUUACUUUGACUUGUGAUUUUCUCGAAUAAUGAACCUAAUAAUCCCCCAACACACCCAUUCAGAUUGAAACAUAUGGAAUGAGCCUAGUUAGAACUCGUGUAUGUCCCAACGAAAACCACGUAGACUCGGGAGACGAAAAUCACUUCGACUGGCAAAAAUGGUAUUGAAACGUGCUAAGAAAUGGGCAACCUAUCAAAAAAUAUUAAUUAUAAUUACGAAUUAUAAUAAGAAUAAAAAUUAAGAUAAAUGAAACCCUUUGCAACUCGACAGCUACAAGGUUGGUAAUUGAACAAGGAAAGAAGGAAGGUCGGUGGGGCCAGUCUAAAGUUGACUUGGACGCGGUUCCACCUGGAACCCAGAAAGUCAAACGCCCGUAGUAGGUCCUAAUGGUCAUCAGGAAGUAUAUGCCAUCAAUCAAACGGUUAAUAAGGAUCAAGUCCACAGCCCAUUUUCUGGGCCUGAUCCCCACGCCCGUACUAUAUUUGGGUUCUACCAGGCUGGGUCAGCAAAGCCCAUUGACUCUACAUCUCCGGGAUUCGUGAACUGAUCAGCUACAGGCCGGAGCACUAAAUACGACGGCGAUUUUUGGGAGAUCUUGUAUAAAUAUUUACAUGAAGUUGACAAAUCUGCGGUCGACGGAGAUUCUGCCAACCGUUGGAUUAUUCCUGUAGAUCUCCGAUCCCAGAUUUCUCGGUGGAGUCGCAAUCAAGGGACGGCGACUUGCUGCAAUCGUGCGACGGUCUUACUGCACCGUGGCAUGGGGGCAGUCGGACGGGGUUAAUCCGCUCAUUCGGACACCAGUCGCCUGUGGAUUCUACGGGCGCGCGUCAGCCGGCGGAGUCCAUGGGGCCCGCCGGAGCACGGGCCGUCGGCGGGAUCAGGAUAAGAGGCGGCCCCCAUCAAGUUGGACUUUAUGUUCCUGUACUCGAUCCCUAUCGCUCGUCCCAAGUAAGACCUCCUUGUAAUUAGAUUCUCUCUCUCCUCUCUCUCUCUCUCUCNNNNNNNNNNNNNNNNNNNNNNNNNNNNNNNNNNNNNNNNNNNNNNNNNNNNNNNNNNNCUCUCCUCUCUCUCUCUCUCUCUCUCUCUCUCUCUCUCUCUGCGUCUCUCUCUGUCUCUCUCUGUCUCUCUCUGUCUCUCUGUCUCUCUGUCUCUCUCUGUCUCUCUCUGUCUCUCUGUCUCUCUGUCUCUCCCUCCCCUCUCUCCGUCUAUGUUGAUAUGUGAAGGAAUGUUACUGUUGACAGGCUCUGUGGGACAUCUAGAACGAAAGUCCAGCGAUAAGAACACGGAUUGGGUCAAACUUAGUCGUCGGGGACGCAGCAGGCUUGGAGAAUCGCUAUUGCGGCACUACUGCAUGUUAGCUUUCGAUCUUUCAGUGGCACAGCGUUGAACGGUGUUGGAACUUUGGUCUACGGGCCAUCAGUUGGCUGCUCUUAGAUGCUGCGUUAAACACAACGGACGGAGGGGAGGGAGAGAGAGAGAGAGAGAGAGAGACCCUGGUGGUCGCUUGCGUCGACAACUUGCUGAGUGCGGUGGUCGUAGGGAUGAACUCGGCGCUGGGGGGAGGGGGGGCGGGGUCGUCUGCCUAAAUUUCUGACUUGGCGGCGGGUCAGCAUCGUCGUCUUUGGAGUCCGUUGACUGUGAGGCUACCGAGGCAGUGUGGUGACCACUGAGCCCGUCAGUGAACUAUCGAGGAAGUUAGGCGACGACCGAGUCAAAAUGUUCCCGAGGCUCGUCCACCAUUAAAUCCCGUCAUCAUAAAUCGGAAUCACUAGAUUCAGUUAACCCGAUCUAGCGAUAGCCCAAGAGACAUGGACGGUGAGGAUAAGUUUGACUACGGGUUUGACGCCCCUGAUUCCCCGGGGCCAUCCGGCCUCGGUGGCGGCUGUCAAGGGUUUCCCGGUCGCCGUUCUCAUUAAGAAGUUGGUAGCAUGAAUGAGGAGGAGGUUUUUCUGGGCCCCAUUGGGAAAUGGACGGUCACGAUCGGUUCUUUCGGGGACGUGGGUGACGUGCGUGGACCUGUCGUGCCAAGCCUCCCGUUGACUGUGGGGCCCUUUGAAAGGGAGGGGGGGCAGCGCGGUACCGUUUGGGGCAAGGGAUUAGGCUCUCAUCAAGGGCUAAAUGGCCACCACGUACCCCCUUGUAUGCCCCCAUCAUCUUGACGAGAGGCGCUCGUCCCACCGAAAGUAGAACUACAAUAUAAUUUUACUAUAAAGUAGGGAUCUUGAAGGCAGCGUUUCUGGCCGACCAGUAUCUUCCUCCAGGUCCUCCUCAGUCCAGCUUCCCAUUCCCCGCCGCCUCUGUCUGCAGCGUAGGAGGCUAUUUCCACGCCUCCUUCAAAAUGUUCGGAGCCUCUCUCCUACGACUUCUCGUCCUCUCCCUCCCCGCCCUCCUCGCCCUUGCGCAGGAGGUCAGGUUCGUUUACAACGGUUUCUCCGGCGGCGGAGGCGCCGCCGCAGUCAACAGCAACCACAACAUAAGCUUGAAUGGGGUUGCGGAAGUAGAGGGUCGGGGGUUUGUUCGGCUUACGAACGAGACCAGCCGGCUGAUUGGUCGCGCCUUCUACCCCCUCCCCGUCCAGUUCCGGAACGCCACCGACGGCUCCGUCUUCUCCUUCUCCACGGCGUUCGCGUUCGCCAUCGUCCCCGAGUACCCGAAGCUCGGUGGCCACGGGCUCGCCUUCGCCAUUUCCCGGAGCAAGGAGCUCCACGGCGGUCUCCCGAGCCAGUACCUGGGGCUCCUCAACGCCAGCGACGUCGGCAACUCCAGCAACCACGUCUUCGCCGUAGAGUUCGACACCGUGCAGGACUUCGAGUUCGGGGACAUCAACGACAACCACGUCGGCGUGGACAUCAACGAUAUGAGAUCCAAUGCCUCCGCCACCGCCGCGUACUACGACAAGGACGGCAAGCACGACCUGAACCUCAAAGGCGGGCACACGGUUCAGGCCUGGAUCGACUACGAUGGCGUGGCCAAGCUGCUCAAUGUCACCGUCUCCCCCUUUUCCUGGAAACCCACCACUCCGAUCAUCUCUUUCCCCGUCGAUCUCUCCUCGGUCCUCUUGGAAGAGAUGUUUGUGGGCUUCUCGAGCUCCACGGGGCUCCUCGCCAGCUCUCAUUACCUCUUCGGCUGGAGCUUUAGUAUGAAUGGCCCCGCCCCAUCCCUAGAUCUCUCUUCCUUGCCUUCCCUUCCUCAGCCAAAGAAGAAAACCCACUCCUUGGCCAUUUCGACGUCCGUCGCCGCCUUCGUCCUGCUCGUCGUCGCCGUCAUCGGCGGCGCCUACCUUUUCUACUGGAUCAAGAACGCCGACGUGAUCGAGCCGUGGGAGCUGCAAUACGGGCCGCACCGAUUCUGCUACAAGGAGCUGAAGAGGGCGACCAAAGGAUUCCGAGAAAGGGAGCUACUGGGUUUCGGAGGAUUCGGAAAGGUCUACAAGGGAGUCCUCCCCAGCACCAAAGCGGAGGUCGCCGUCAAGCGGGUCUCCCACGAAUCGAAGCAGGGAAUCCGGGAGUUCGUGGCGGAGAUUGCCAGCAUCGGGCGGCUCCGUCACCGGAACCUCGUCCAGCUCCAGGGCUGGUGCCGGCGGCGAGGGGAUCUCCUGCUCGUCUACGAUUACAUGCCUAACGGCAGCCUCGACAAGUACCUCUUCGACAACCCGCCGAAAGUGGUUCUAUCUUGGAACCAGAGGUUGAGGAUAAUCCGCGGCGUGGCGGCGGCGCUGGUCUACCUGCACGAGGAGUGGGAGAGCGUGGUGAUCCACCGAGACGUCAAGGCCAGCAACGUCCUGCUCGACGCCGACAUGAAUGGGCGGCUGGGGGACUUCGGCAUGGCGAAGCUACACGAGCACGGGGGCAACCCCAGCACCACGAGGGUCGUCGGCACCCUGGGGUACCUUGCCCCCGAGCUGACCCGCACCGGGAAGGCCACCACUAGCGCCGACGUGUUCGCCUUUGGCGCUAUGAUGCUGGAAGUGGUCUGCGGGCGGCGGCCCAUAGAGCCCAAGGCGUUGCCGGAGGAGCUCAUACUGGUCGACUGGGUCUGGGAGCUAUGGUUGGCCGACAGGGUGGCUGAGGCGGUGGACCGCCGGCUCUGCGGCGACUACGCGGAGGAUGAAGUGAAGACGGUCGUCAGGGUGGGGCUGAUGUGCUCCCACCCCACCGCCUCCGAACGGCCGACGAUGAGGGACGUCGUGCGGUAUCUCGACGGAGACACCGACGUGCCGGAGCUGCGGAGCCCUCUGCCGAACGACGACCGCAUGAGCCCGGCGGUGUUCGACGACUUCGUCCACUCUUACCCUUCGUCGUCCUUCGAGAAGGUGUCGUCCUAGUCGGCUGCGGAGGGUCGCUGGGAGAAAACGGGCGCACCGGCGCCGGCGGCUUCCACCGGUCAGAGCUCCCAGGCCCCCCCUUUCUCUCUCCCCACUCUCCAGUAAGCUCGUGAUGGACCUCGUCGACCUCGUAAAUCCCAACUCCCGCUGCUAAUUCCCUCACCUAAUCUCCGGCAGAUGGGAUGGCUGAAUUGUCGGCGCCGCGGAUUUGGAACUGUUCCUACUGGGGCAGGGCGGACGCACCGACCGAGAUGGGUCUGGGGGGAAGAGGCAGUAUCACCCACUCACUCCGAAUCUGACGAUAUCCCCCCCGCUGUUAGUCAAUGGCGAUUCCCGGCUGUUGUCUGAUUGGACACUGACAGAAAAGUAUUCAUCUUUUCAGGAGCCGCCUCUUUCGAUCAAGACGGGAAGCCCGCCAGACUCCUCACAUUAACUAAAUAAAAGAUUGAUCUUUACGCCACUGAAACUAGCUUAGACACGCGUAGUAGCUCCCCGUGGGCAUGCCGAAUUCUGGACGCCGAUCAGGAGAGGUUCCACAGGGGAAGAGGAACAGGCACGGCCCAGGAGUUCAACUACCCCUCGCCGCCUCCUCUACAUCUGGGGCUUAAUAGGGAUUACUAGUCCUUCGACCCCCAAGCUUGUCACUCAUUCAUAACGGUUGUUUUUAUAUAAGUAGGUCCAAUUGGCUAAGCUGCUGGACAUAAACGAGGUUUUCUGAGGAAGGGGAGUCCAAUUGCUGCACACCCCUGUAGCUGAGGUGGCCUUUUGAAGUCAGCUCAUCACCAUCUUGAUAGACUGGAUAUCACAGGGUUGACUUUAAUUCUCCUGAUCUAACAGGAUUACUGUGUCGAUGCAAGAACCAGCUUUCUCUCUUGCGGAAGCACACGAAGGGCACCAAAGAGGAGAUGAUACACUACGGCGAAUCUCUACUCGGCUUCGCUCUGCUCUCCAAUCUUUUAAUCCUCCUACUUUAGGACGAUUUCCACGCCAUCUUGUAUUGUCCCGAAUGGCUAUGCCGUUUACCUCAUCCCAAAAAUGGCUGGCCAUCGAUCCGAAUUAUGCUUACUUAUCUUGUGGGUAUUUUGCGUAUUGUGAACUCUACCGGCCUCUACUUAGGUUAUAGUCAGAUACGCAUCAUUAACCCAUAAAAUAUACGUAUUUUUUAAACAAUUGUUUGUUAAUUCUCGUUGGUAAUGCAGUCUGAGGGUUUUAAAAGUAUAUUUUUAAACCUCAAAAAAUACUAAAUGGAGAAAUUAGGUAGGUAGAUUGAGAGCUCAGAUUUGAGAAUCUGAACUAUUAGGGCUGGCCAAUAUGAGCGUGCUUGGCCAAUGAGCCUCCCCCAAGAACGGAACUAAGUUUUGCACCGUUUUAGAAAGCCCGUGCCAAAGUGGCGAAGCUGAAGAUUUUAAAGGACGCCAAUUUCACGAUAGGGUGUUUUCUGAAAUUAUAAUAACCCAAGAUAUUUAUCAACAGGCUUCACAAUGAAAAUAAUUAUUCCCUACCCUAAUUCAGAUUAUGGGUGUCUUUUGAGUUUAGCUCGAAAACAUUGUGUGCUACCCAAGUAAAUGGGUCCCCAAGCUCAUGUAAAUCUAGGCAUAACGCAUUAAAAAAGGUGGAUACAACGUUCAAUUUCAUAAAUAAAAAACAUGACGACUUCUCGUAGGUUUGACACAAGAGUGAAUGAAUUCAUAAGGUGGCUUUAUGAUAUAGGGAUAGUGGCCUUUGAAUAAUUCAUUCCUUUACUAUAAUGUGACCAAUCUAUCAACGUCAUAUUAUAGGAUUUGCUUAAACUUGAAACUCUUAUUAGUCAAUGUAAACUUUGAUUAAAGCAUGACAACAGGUGUAAACCUUGUAGUAGAUUAUUUGCGUAUUGUGACAAGGGGUAUGUAUAAAAAGGGACGGCCUUACUUAGCCCACACCCAUACAUGGUUUCCAUAAAAUGAGCUCCAAGCUAAAACCUAUAACAUGAUAGUGAUAGAUUGGUUACAUUCUAGUAAAGGAAUGAAUUAUUCCAAGGCCACUAUCCCUCUAUCAUGUUAUAGGUUUCUCUAAAACCUGAAACUUCUAUUACUCAACGUGAACUUUGAUUAAAACAUGACCAGAUGUGUAAAACCUUGUAGUAGAUUAAUUGAUAUUGUGUGACAAGGGAGGGCCUUAGGCGAAGCCCAUACAUGGUUUCCAUAAAAUGAGCUCCAAACUGAACUGUUAUGAAGCUCAGCAUACCUUCGGCACGACUGCGAUGGUAUCGGCUGCAGAACACUAUCGUUUUACUUUGCAGUACUCUUCUUAACUUAGAAAUAUCUAGCAACCGAAAUGCCAACAUUGUACCUAAACGCUGAUAUAUCCUGAAUGUAAUAUGGACUAAUUCGUAUUAAUUUGGUCCCAGUUGUACAUACAGAGCCGUACGGGCUAAUGGGAUACCAAAACCUCAAUAUCCUUGAUCACGCUUUGGUCUUAUUCGGGACAAGUAUUCAUUUAGUUCUAUUCAGAUUAGUUUAUUCAUAUCGACUGGUAUGGGGCUGAUGGAGACCUUAUUACCAUUCAUUGUGUUCACAUUGCAGGCGUCAUCACUCAUCACCAACUUUGUCGUAUUAUUUGGGUUUCCACAGUGGCAGCUAUCAUCGGCCGAACAGAUCUGGGCUAGCCGGGCUCCGAGAGAGUCCCAACCCAUCGCGAGGCAUGAAGCGCUGGAGCCGCGGAGCCUGUUCCCCGCCCACCGGCUGUCAUCCAAGAGCUGCCGCCUCCACUCCUUUUAUCCCUUUAAAGAGGGACGGCCACGUGCAGCACCUGUGUGUGCACCCGGCGGCAUUCCCCUUCCUCCAUGGUGACCUCCGUGAGCAAACUCAUCAUCUGAACCAUUCCCCAGCGGUCCGUGUGGCGGAAACGACCCCGGAGCUUCCUCCGGCAGACGGGUCGAGGAGGUUGACUGUGACAGCGGUAGUGGAGCGCUGUGGGCAGCCGAUGGCAGCAGGAUCUUAAAGAACUCAUUAAUGGGGGGGAACUCUCGCGGCUGGAGCUUUUGGGCCCCGUCUGUCUCCCUCUUCGUCAUGUGGGACGCAAUCAAUCGUGGCCCUUGGUGUUUCUCCGCAUUAAUGCUGACAGAUGCAUCCAGAAGUAGAAGAUAAGGAGAGGGGAUGGGGAGGAAGGAGGGCGAGUUUCCUCCCGCGCGGCUCCUCCCUCUUCGGAACUCUCCGUCCAUCAUGUUCUCUCGAGUCCUGAUUCAGGCCAUCCUCGUCCUCGGUCUGGUCUCUUCCUGCGCCGCUGUGGAAGCCGGCCACAGCUUCGUCUACUAUGGAUUUACCGAUGCCAAUCUGACACUAAGCGGGCAGGCUGUACUCACCUCCGGCGGCCUCGUCCAGCUGACCAACGAUACGGCGGAAGAACAAGGCCACGCCUUCUUCCCCCUUCCUUUCCGGCUCAGUGACCAUUCCAAAGGCGGCAUACCGCUGUCUUUCUCCACCAGCUUCAUCUUCGCCAUCGUGCCGAAGUACCCCGACGUCGGCGGCCACGGAAUCACCUUCGCCCUGUCUCCCACCGUCGAUCUCCCCGGAUCCAUGCCCAGCCAACACCUGGGCCUCUUGAACACCACCGACAACGGAAACCUGUCGAACCAUAUCGUCGCAGUCGAGUUCGACACCGUGAAGACGGUAGAGUUCGGAGACAUCAACGCUAACCAUGUCGGCAUCGACGUCAACAGCCUGAACUCUGCGAACAGCACCACAGCGUCGUAUAUCGACGGCGGCACGCACAGGAAUCUGAGCCUCAUGGGCGGAGGACCGCUGCGCGUUUGGGUAGAAUACGACGGCCCGAGGACGAAGAUGGAAGUCACGAUUUCUCCGAUGGAGGUGCCCCGGCCGAAAAUCCCCCUCCUCUCGGCUAUCGUCAAUAUCUCGUCGGUCGUUAAAGAAGAAACCUACCUGGGAUUUACGGCUUCAACCGGGGCGGCAACGGAAACUAAUUAUAUUCUAGCUUGGAGCUUCAGUUUGGACGGGAAGGCCGAAGAGCUCGAUCUCUCCAAGAUCCCAAAGCUCCCAACUAAGGACGAACCAGGGCGGCAGCGAUGGCGGGUAGUGUUGCCUAUUGCGCUGCCUUCAGCCGGAGUUUUCAUCCUCCUCGUCGUCAUCGCCACGGCAAUCUUUGUCGCAAGGAGGAGGAAAUUCGCAGAGGUGCUCGAAGACUGGGAGCAGGAAUACGGGCCUCAAAGGUUCUCGUAUAGGGAUCUUUACAGAGCGACAAGAGGCUUCAGCGAAGAACAGGUGGUGGGAGUGGGAGGGUUCGGCCGGGUCUACAAGGGCGUGCUCCCCUCCUCCAAGGUGGAGGUUGCCGUGAAGAAGAUCGCCCAUGAGUCCCAGCAGGGGAUGAGGGAGUUUGUGUCCGAGAUUGCGAGCAUGGGACGGCUCCGCCAUAGAAACCUGGUUCAGCUGCUCGGCUACUGCCGGCGACAGAGGGAGCUCCUCCUGGUCUACGACUUUAUGCCCAACGGCAGUCUUGACAGGUGCCUCUUCGGCUCGGACAAGCCGAAGCUCACCUGGGAACAGAGGAUCUGUAUCGUGAAAGGCGUGGCCUCCGGGUUGCUCUAUCUCCACUGCGGGUGGGAUCAGGUGGUCGUCCACCGGGACAUCAAAGCCAGCAACGUCCUCCUCGACGGCGACCUUAAUGGGAGGUUGAGCGACUUCGGCCUGGCAAGGCUCUACGACCACGGCACCAACCCUCAGACCACCCACGUCGUCGGUACCCUCGGCUACCUCGCUCCGGAGCUCACCAAGACCGGCAAGGCCACCACCAUGACCGAUGUGUACGCCUUCGGCGCCUUUCUCCUCGAGGUUGCCUGCGGCAGACGGCCCAUAAACAUGCGCUCGUCCGCCGAUGAACCCUUGCUCGUUGACUGGGUCCUCGAGUGCUGGAAGAAAGGGGUCAUCGUCGAGGCGGCGGACCCUGAACUGAGGAGAGGUGGCGGCGGCGAGGAGGCGGCGGAGAUCGAGCGGGUCCUGAUGCUCGGGCUGCUCUGCUCCCACACCGAUCCCAUGGCUAGGCCGAGCAUGAGGCAGGUGGUGCAAUACUUGGAAGGCGACGCUCCGCUCCCGGUUAUAUCCCCGGGCCGCCUCGACGCCAGCUCCUCCGCCUUCCGCCGGAGUGAAGGCUUCGACGACUUCGUCGUGACGUACCCGUACACCUCGACCACGUCGUUCGGCCGCGACUCGUCCGUCGGUGAGUCGUUCUUCUCACAGAGCCGUUGACCGAUUUGGUAGCGUUAACUCCCGCAAUCCCCCCCCCCUCCCUUCGAUUUGUUCGAGCAAGGAGAGAACUAACACGCAUGAUGACGUGAUUAGGUGCCCGUUCUUGUGGUUAUAUGACGCCAUUUGUAAAUAUUUAUUAAUUCGAUCUUGCAUUAGCCCUGUCUUAAUCAUCUUCUAUCCAUAAUUUUUUAGAUUAAUUGACUGAAUGACAGCAUGCAUCUCUCAUUCUCAUCGAACCCAGAAAAAAUCGAUGUAUUUAUGAUAAUUAAACGCUUUAGCUUAUAAAUGUUUAGCCCUACCCCCCUAAGAGCAUUAACCACCGGUAUUAUCUCUCUGUGUGGCCUCCCUGCACACCACACUGGUAUUAUCUCUUUGGUCCACAGGUUCGUGAAUAAUUAUCAAUUCACAUAAAAGCAUACGUUUUUUUCUUAUUACCUUCUCGCUGAGUUACUCUCUCUCUCUCUCUCUUCUCUCUCUCUAGUUGAAAUGUCUCUCCCUCGAACCUUUUGCUUAUAAUAGAUAGUGAGCAAGAGAGAGAGAGGAGGGGGGGGAACGGAAGGGAGAGAGGGAAGAAAAGAUUGCGCUUAAUCGGGUCUCAGAUGCAGAAGGAGACUUGUUUCGAGGACACUUAUGCAAAUGAACUUUCAAGGGAGCCUUUAGCUGGUAUAAUACAUUCCUAAGAAACAAUCCUAAUCGUCGGUUUUAUAGCCAGAUUAUGGUAAAUCAACGUUUAGCUUGAAGGAUAAGGGAUGCUUGAAAGGGAUAGAAUCAUAAAUACUCACCACGAGGCAUCCAUAUGAUGGGACGUAUUUUAUGGCCCUUUUUUGCCGCCUGCAUGGACGUCAUCAUUAAUGCGUCAUCAUCCGUUAGGUCGGCACGGAGUUAAAGGCCUCUGGGGAUUUUGGCAGAAGAUCCCGACUCAUUGACCAUGGGGAUGUCUUGUAUGAGAUGGUCAACGCGGCCUGCUACAUCGAGGGAGCCAGCCACGCGGAGGACGUAGCCACCAGCUCGGGAGACGUCGGAUGCACCGCCUUCUUUCUCAUCCUCCGAAGAAGAGAAGACGCCGACGCCCACCGGCGGAGGUCUCAGUUCGCGUACGCCUCGAGCACUCUUUCGCUCGAUCGUUCCGCCUUUGUCAGACCUGUAGAAGAGCGAGGGAAGAAGAAGACGACGACGAUAAGAAGAGGUGGACGAAGACGAUGAACAACUGCAGGUACGUCGACCGUGGUUGGAAAAAUACCUUGGUAGGGGCUGUUAAGCAGUGAAUCAGGCUGGGCAGCAGCAGAGGGCGGCGUCGGACGAGGGCUUGACGAUAGUAGCGGCUGAGGACUGGCAGAGACCGGAAGGGGAAGAGAGCUUGAGGAAGCGAGGGCUGGCUGCGGGUCACUAGAGUCCGAACCCACCCAGGGGAUUUCGGAACUUGCGGACUGCGGCUUGGCCGACCUCUCCGUAAAGAAAAGAGAGGUAACGACGUCCUUCAGCUUCUCCAUCCCAAGCUCCCCCCCGCUGGCGCCCUUCCUCGGGCUCAUGGCCUCCGUAAUGACCUCGGAGAGAGCCUUGUCCUCCUCCCCCGGCUCCAGCUUCUGCAACAGGUACUCCUUCACCGAGAUCCCUUUAUCCCGCGCCUGAUCUCCUGUCGCUGCCGUCGAACUCUGGAUCUUGGAAGUCAUCUCGGGGGUGGUCUCCGUCGUCGCGGCGUAUGCCGGAGUAAGCACCCCUGUAGUUGCCUCGGUGAGCGAAGUGUUGCCGCAGUCCUCGCCAGCGGGGUAGCCGGGGAUCUUCGUGGCCUGCAGCACAUGCUUGUCCGCGACAAUCGGCGGUGACGAAUCCAAAUCCUCACUGAGGUUUCUCUCCUUUACGUGGAGACUAUCAUCAGGGCCUUCAAUGCCCUUCGCGGUGCGGCCAGCUGCAGUCUCCGGCGACGCAGCCAUCUCCCUAUAAGAGACAGGUGCCGAGGUCGACUCGUACACUGUGAGAAAAGCCACGGAUUCUGAUCAAUGGAUAAAUCAUAGAAAAGUUAAGCUAAAAGGAGCGGAGUUCGAUCAGGGAGACUACUCGGGGCUCCGUGGUAUUCAGGGUCCGAUCCUUCACCCUCUGGCUCAACCCGUCCGGUGCCGUAGAAACGGCCGUCGUUGCCGGCAUCAUGCCCCUGCCUUCUCUUGGAGAGCGUUCGCCUCCACCGCUUCGCCUUGUCCUUAACCUUCGCCAGUACCGACCUCUUCUCGUGGUGGCGGCCGUGCUCGUCCUCCUCACGGUCGGAGCUCCUCGGCAACGCCCGGCUCCCCUGCGCAUCCCCCCUCCCUUCACAUCCACGGGGAAUCAAGACAUGGACUUGGGCCAUCUUAUCUUCGAAGUCUAACUCCUUCAAAUAUCGGCAGGUUCCAGUCCCUUUGGUAUUCUCCUGCAGAGGGCGGAAUCCGAGGAUUUAAUGGCGGGCCUCGCCCAUCGUCACCGUUCGCUAGACGGGCUCUCCCCGCCGUGAUCGGUGCAACCCGGACACGGCGGCCCCGCCGCGCCGCUCAGCCAGCUACUAUCCCGGCGAAGUGCCUCGGCCGGCCAUGUUCCUCGCUCGUUUUUCCCGUUAAAUAGCGGAGCCAGAAAGCCCCCGCGAUUUUCUCUCGUCUUUUCCGCAACCUUCCUCCGACCCUCCCAGUCUCAUUUCAGCUGAAACGAGACCCAGAUCGAAUGAAAUCCCUCGAGAUGAAGAACAGGGUCUUCCAGGGGAGAGUUCAUGCUGAACCCUAAGUCAAACGUUUGACUUUUGGUGGUCAGAUAUACCAGAUUCACAUCACGAGAAAAGUUAAAUAAAAGCGUCAAAAUUCUAUUAUUUCCUGAAUUAUUCGAUCUCGUGGUCACUCCUCGAUCCAACUCCACCCGGGGUCCUUCUUGAGACCUCUGUCUGCCAUCUGCUUCCGGAGCACUGCCGAACGUCCCCACAGACGCAUUUCUGCAAACACGUUUGAAAGCAGCACGUAACUGGACGAAUCAUGCGGGCAGAGGUCAAGAAGACGCCUCGCGGCGCGCGCUGCCAUCUCCAUAUCCCCAUGGGCUUUGCAUGCACUGAGCAGCGAGCGAUAGAUAGAAGGCCCGGGCUUCACGGGGAUGGCGUUGACCAAUGCUUCCGCUUGCUUUAGGUAGCCCGCCCGACCGAAAAGGUCAACCAUGGAAGAGUAAUGCUCCAUCGUAGGACUCCUCCCCCGGUCUGCUCCCUCGAUCAUCAGAUUGAAACACCGGACACCCUCGUCAACAAGCCCGACAUGGCUGCAAGCAGAGAGCACGGACAGGUAGGUGGUCUCGUCCGGUUCAACCCCGUGGCUCCGCAUUCUCUCAAAGAGCUCCAAUGCAUGGUGCCCAUGCCCGUGGCGGGCGCAGCCGGAGAUGAGAGAAUUCCAGGAGACCAGAUCGGGGCUGCAAAUGGCGGAGAAGGCGAGCUUCGAGUCAUCGAUCGCGCCACACCUGGCGUACAUGGCCACAAGUCCGUUCUGAACGUAGUUGCUGGAGGAGCACCCUGUUCUGAGAACCAGGGCGUGGGCCUGCUUCCCUUCUUCCAGCGCUGAAUUGCAGCCGGCAGCCCACAGGAGGCUGGUGAAGGUGUAGAUGUCGGCGUCCACGGACCCACGCCUCAUCCUGAUGAACUGCCCCAUGGCUUCUGCCAAAUUUCCCAGGUGGGCGAAGCCCGAAACGAUCGAAUUCUGCAGUACCUGAUCCUCAGACAGAUCAGCGUCAAGAACCUUGAGGAAAUCCUCUGAGCUGUCACAUUUGGAAUACAUGUUUAUCAGGGCCGCGGAAACAUAGGGAUCAGCUUCCAUGCCCCGCCUGAUCGCCAAGCAGUGAAUCUGUCUGCCGGAGUCCAGGCCGUCGCGCCCCGUGAAGGAACUCAGGAGGCCGCUGAAGGUGACCUCAUUGGGCGCAACGCCCCCGAGCCUCAUCUUGUUGAGCAACACCAUGGCCUCUUCGGGUUUCUGGUGCGUGCCGUAACCAGCGAUCAGGGAGGUCCAGGUGACCACAUUCCUCUCGGACAUUUCAUCGAACAGAUUCCGUGAAGCGGCCAUGGAGACAGAGCAUUUGGAGUACAUGUCCACCAGAGAAGUCGCCACGAAGGCGUUGGAGCAAAACCCGUGCUUGACGGCUACGCAGUGCACCAUGGCUCCCGUCGCCUCGACCCCUAGCAAGGAGCUGGCGAGAAGAACGCUGGAGACGGUGAAUGCGCUCGGAGAGACGCCCGCCGCGAUCAUCUCCACGAAGAGUCUCAUUGAGAUGGCAGGAGAUCCCGCUUGGGAAUGCCCGCGGAUCAGGGAGUUCCAGGCGACAACAUUCCGCGAAGUCAUUUCGUCAAACAUCUGCUGAGCAUAAGCCAUUCUCUUCGACUUGCAGUAAGAAUCGACGAGGGCGCUGGUGAUGAAUAUAUUGGAGAGGAGGCCCAGCUUGAAGACGGUGGAGUGGACCGCGACGCCCGCCGAUGGCGAGGAGGAUCUAGCGGAUGCAGAGAUAAGCCGGACGAAAUCAUAGGCCACAGAUGAUGGAAGAGAAGGGGAAGAUUCUUCACUCCCAGAGAAGUGGCCGGAAUAUCCCUCCAGGAAGCAAAAUAUGCGACGUUUUACGGCACGAGCUGCAGGCGGCGCCGCCGCCGCCAGAAGGCGGCCUCCCUGAAGAGCAAACGGCUCGCGUGGCAUCCUACAAAAACGGACAUCGUUUCUCGCUCACAGCCCAUCGCCAUCCGACAAUCCCAUCAUCCACCGUGACUCCCUGACCAGUGGCCGACUUCCUCGCUGCUGAUAAUCUCCCUGCCUCAAGGCGGAAGAAGCGGCGCCGCCGACCGGCACCGCGGCUUCAUAUCUCAUCUUCUAUGAGUCAAUACGGCGAGUUGCGCCGGCCCGGAAGGUUUUGGAAUAUAACAGGCCCACUCGUCAAAAACAUAGAGGAGACUUCAAUCUACCUCCAUAUCUACAUAAUCUAAACUUUGGGGCUGAGUGAUCUAUAUAGGAUAGGAUGAUGGAUCAGGUAUGAAAAGAAAGACUCAAAGAACUUUACCCUUUUCUCUUCUUCCCCACAAACCUUGAUUCCUGAUCCGUCCAUUUCUUUUCACUAUUUUUUCCUCUAAAUUGACUUAUAUGUUCAUCUUCUACUAAUUAAACUCUGGAUGUGGGCAUUGUGGCUCUUGCUCUCUUUCUUGUUUGGAAUGGAGCGGUCCAUUUCUCAUAAGAUGAGACUUGAGAUGUCCAACUAUCAUUCACAGUGACAAUGAAGGCUAAAAAUCUAAUUGUGAAUUGUCACAUUAUGCUUGAAAUAUCUAUUUACGAAACUUAUUUGAAUGAUUGGUUGUCUUAUCUUUCGUUCAUUCUUUGAAACAUGCGAUAAUCUCUUAAUUCAAUUCUGAAAGGUUGAUUGGCUAUUAUUGAUGAUUGGGCAAGUUCUAAAGUAUCUUAGUAGUUGAAUAUGAUAAAUUUAAUGAUUGAUUUGCAUCUAAAUUGUGUGCGCCUUGUGGACUAUUUGACAUACUAUGUACAUUGAAUGAAACUUUCUAAUAUUUGUCAAUAAAAAAUUCCAAUCCAAUUCAACCAAGUAGUUCUUUAAUUUGAACAAUAAGUUCAAUCGAUUAAAAAAUAUUUUAAAUUCAACCUUAGAAUCUACAUUGUGAUUGGUAUGUUCUACAAGGUGGCAAAAUUUCUAAAGUCACAAGUUUGAUAUUAUAAUUUAAUUCAAAAAAUAUUUCAUAUUUGACAUAAUAAUCGACUAUCUCAUUCUUAUAGUAUUCACAAUAAGUUAAACUUUCUAAAUAAAUUGAGCAAGCUAAUUAGAUGAUUAAAAGCAUUUGAUCUUCAGUGAGUAAAAGUAUUUUAAAUUUGAUAUCAUAAUAGAUACUUGAACUAAUCUAGUAUGAACAAUUAAACUAGUCUUUUUCAAGUGUGGUGAUCAAAGUUUGUAUUAUGUUCUUUGAAUCGAACUAUACAAUGCGUUGUGAUUAAAGUAUUUAAACAAUAAAUUAUUCAAUUGUUAUUUAAUUAAUUUCAUUUUAAAUUUUAAAUAUUUUCAUAAAUAAAAUUGAUUUUUUAAUACAUGAAAAUGUUGAUAAUACCUGAAGGUAUCUCAACAACAGUAUGAUGAAUGAUAGAGUGGAACCCGCACAUCUGACCUUCACACUUCUCUUGAUGUCUUCCAGCCAUGCCAGGAUGGUCUAACUUAUCAUUGCAUUCUUCCACUCUAUGCAGGAAGAACGCAUGAUCGAGCUGAGAGCAGAGCACUACACCUGAAUAGCUGAUCAGCCAAGUCACGUUUGGCGCGUCCUCAAGGCUCUUGAUUUUAUUGAGGAGACGCUAGUGGCAUAGGAUAUGAUCAUGUGGGGAGCUCUGCUGGGGGCCUGUCAAAAUUAUGACAACGUGAAGGUGGCAGUGACAGCAGCUUCUCACCUACUCAAGUUCAAAACUGAGCGACCGGGAAGUAAUUUUAUGAUGUUCAACAUUUAAGGGUACGAGUUGCGGGUGGCGGGGCCAGAAGUGCACGGGCCAACUACCCUGUGGGGAUACUUGGUUGACCUCUUCAAACACGACUUCAAGAUGCACGGGCCGACUACCCUCGAGUGAAUAGGUCGUCCCUUGAGGGCUAACUAGUUUAUGAAGACGACCGAACUCAUAAUGCAUGUGAAAAACAUGGUUGACUCUGGGCUUCGGCGGUUCCAGCCAACUCGUAUGGCAUGAAAUCCCCAAGAGCUGGAGAAGAACUAGCGAGGAGUUAUGUAUAGAUGUCUUCAUCUGUCAUUCGAUUCAUUGAUGCAUAGCGUUCCUUUCCUUCUCUCCUGACAAUAGAAUAUUGAUCAAGCUUGAUGCAGGAUAAAAUAUCGUGAGAGACUUGGCAUGUUAGAUGUCAACCAUAAAUUUUUAUCUAGAGUCAACUACAAUCAACAACCACAGAAAUAGAUACACAUUUUUCAUGUCACCUUAGUAUCUUGCCAACAACUCGAUCGAGAUAAACUAACGUCAUCUUCAACAUUUCCACGGAAGAGGUAAGGGGAUGGCGACUAUCUAUGUCUCAAGUUGCAGUACAUUUCGAAAUGAUUUCAUUAUAUUAUUGUUGGGUGCAUCCUUUGGAUUGAAGAGAAACGACCAGUAGAUCAUCUCAAUAUAUUUAUUUCUAUACAAUUUUAACGGGCCUUCAAUUUCUUUGUCAUUGGAAGUCUGAUUACCUUGCUACUGCAAUCAAAUGACAACGUUAGGUGACAUGAUCAUAAUGGCUCAGCAAUCACGCCUCAAAUGGAUCCUUAUAGUUGAUCUUCCCUUUCCCUUUUAUUUAAACAAUGUUCAAAAGAGGGCUCGGGGAGAAAAAAAACAGAGAAAAAUCAGAGAUGAAAACCCGUUCUCUCUAAUGGCAUGAAAUAGGGUUCCGACAUCUAACCCCUUCUGUGUCUUGGCUAGUGUUUUGUUCUCUUCACUUCAUGUAUUUGAUUUGCUCAGUCACAGUAGAUAUUCUCCUUCCAACUAUGGUAGCUGGCAGCGGGUGUAUCAACCUCUCCAUAACGAAUCAAAUUUGGGGUGGAAUUCUUCUCUCCUUUCUCCUACUUCAACAUCUUAUGCGUUGCCGAUAUUAUACCUUUAUUGUUCACUGCAAUACCAGGCCAUUUUCCUAACAAUUAUCAUUCAAAUGGCAUAAGUUUUGGUUGUGUUUGAGCUCUCCUCAUUUACUAGCAAUUAAAUUUCAUGUACAGGAGAUUGAGCACAAGCUCAUCGCAGAUAAGCAGUUUGCCAGGGCUUCCAGACAACAUGGACAUUUAGUUGGAUCUUGGUUUGAAUUUUGUCCAACUUGAAAGUUUGGGCCAAUUUUUCUUGUCACAUAGAUAUCUCUCUCCCUCCCUCUCCCGUUCAAACACAUAGAGAAAGCUCGGACUAUCCGGCUGACCAUGGAUCUAUUGGCAUAGAAAGGAUUGUUUUUAGUUUGCCCCUAGUGACUACAAAAUCUCAUUCCGCUUACCUUCCUUCUCUAUCAUUCUUCGAUUUGUUUCCAUUACGCUGCCUGUCCUCAUCAUCUCCAAUUUUGUGGCAGUAAUUCUACAUGCAGUUGAAAGCAUGCGGUUGACUUCGGGGUAUCAGCGGCCCCGGCCAUGUUAAAUCAUCUGGAGUGAAAUUGCCAAUGCUGUACGAUGAACGGGAGCGGAAUAAACUAUCAAUAACUCAAUCUCCAUCACAUUAAGAAUUAUGCAGGAUCAAAUAAAGUGAGAAAUCUGGAGCAUGGAAUAUCUCGCCUUAAUAAAUUUGGCAUGUUAGGCGCCGACGCUAACAUGUGGGCUAUAGCCAGCUGUAAUCAACCAAAGAAAUAGACGCACGUUUUUAUGUCAGCGGCGUACCUCUCAGAUCACCGGGUCAAGACAAGCUAACGUAGUCGUCGACUUUUCCUCGGAAGAGGAAAGGGGACGGCGACUCUCUCUCUCUCUCCUCCUCUCUCUCUCUCUCUCUCUCUCUCUCUCUCUCUCUCAAGUUACGCUAAAUUCCCUAAAUUUUUCAUUAGAUUCUGCUACCCUCCGGACUAUUCCUUGCAUUGCACAGAACGAUUAGAGGAGACCGAUUUUAGACGUUGUUUAAUCAUCGACAACGAAAUUUAACAGCGUACAGUUUUCUAACUUCUACUUUGCCGAUACCAGGGACGCCCUCGAGGCAUACUUGAAGAUGUAGAGAGGGUCACCAAGGAGCUGCUCGCAAACCUUUCCCGGCUUAUGUACAUGGAGGAAGACGGCCUGCUACGGUUGUAUGGGGACUUGACGCAACUCACGAGAAUAGGCUACUACCCACCCUGCUGCCGGGAAGUCGAAGUCCUGGGGCUGAGGCCGCACACCGACAAAAGUAGCAUCACGUUUCUUCUCCAGGAGGACGCCGUCACGGGGCUCCAAAUCCGGCACGACAGCAUGUGGGAUCCCCGUCAAACCUAUCUCAAACACAUUAGUCAUCAACAUCGGCGGCGACGUCAUUAAGGAAUCCUUCUCCAAACUUCUAUGGCCACUACUUUUACUCUCCUACAUCCCCAAAACAUCAUUCUUUUCAUGUCUUUCUAUCAUGUUUGGAAAUGGAGCGUAGAAUAAGAUCUUAAUAGGCCUAAAAAUGGUCAGAGUAGUAGAAAAUAGAGAGCACAAGUACAACAAGACUGCUAAGUAACAAAUGAUGAAAAUGAUGUAUAAUGAGUUGUAAUAAAAUAUGACUUUAAUUACUGUGAUCUAAAGAGGAUAAACACACCUCACGACCAGAAAAUAAAAGGAGAGAGAAAUAUCAAAUGUCUAAGAAUAUAGUACAAUACAAAUAUCAGCCACCAGUAGAGAGAGAGAAGAGGUAAAGUCGGAAUCUUAUCUUCAACUGCUAGAGAGGAAAAGGGUUUCAAGUGCCUUAAAUUUGUCUUUAUCUUUCUCUUUCUCAUUCUCUCUCCUCGAGUUCUAUUUAAAUAUAAAUUACAAAAAAAGGAUCAAACUAUUUUCUAACUAAAAAUUAAUCACAAGUAAAAGCACAAAAGGUGAGAAAAGGCUCACUAAGACCUUCCUUGAUAGAGAUGAACAAGUCACAUGAACAAAUCUUUGCCUUGACUUGGACAUCACAUUGAUCUUCAAAGCUUCAUAUUGAAAGAAAAUUCUAUCAAUUCAUAACUUCAACAAGAGAAUAAAGUUACGUACAUCAAAAAAAACAAGAGGUUAGUUAUAAGUGAUGUGAACUCCAAUCAAGUUCAAACAAUAUUAGAACUUAAAAAUAAAAAGAAACUUUGUUAACAUGUCAAUUGAAGUCUUCAAUACCAAUUUUCUGCAGACUAAUUUUACUUUUGAAAAUUAUAUCAUAGAUGAAAUGAUACUUGAGAUUAAUAUGCUCUAUCUUUUUGUGAUACAUAUGAUCUUUAAUUAAAUAAAUAACACUUUGACUAUCACAAUAGUCAAUAGUAGAAGCUUAACAUGAAUAUAAUUCAUAGAAUAAAAUUCUUAACCACAUAACUUCAUUUAAUACUUCUAUAAGUGUCAUGAAUUCAACCUCUAUAGUAGACAAUGUAACAAUAGAUUAUGGGGAAGCUUUUCAACUAACAACACAUCCACUAAUUGAAAAUAUGUAACUAGUUACUGACCUCUAUUUAUCAAGAUCUCUUGCAAAAUAUGAAUCUAGUUGAUGUAUCACUUGUUCUCCUAAAUUGUAAACAUAUAUCAAUAGCACACCUCAAGUAUUUUAAAACCCGCUAAUGCACAUUACUUGGAUUAAUCAUAUAACGGUUAACAAUAUUGACUGCAUAUGAUAUAUUAGGAUGAGUGCACACCAUUCCAUACAUCAUGCUAGAGUAUGAAACAUGUCUUUUCAUCAACCAACAUAUUAAAGUCAAUGAUGGCUGAGUAAUAAUAAAAAAUAAAUGAAUAUCAUUAUUAAAUUAAGUUGUAUUUUUUAACACAAAUCAUGAUGAAUAUGUAUAAAUUCUUUAUAAAUUAGUCUUAAAUCAUGUAAAAUGAUAAUUUCUUAUCUAUGCCCUUACUUUGCACACAUUGUAGGUAAUAUUUAAUGAGCUUACCCCACUUGACUUGGGAAAGUCAAGUGAUGAAUUUCUCAUACUUUCUUGAGCCUUAAUAAAGUGCAAGAGCAUAAGAAAAUUUAAAGAGAAUUCUAAGAAGAGAGAAAUGAGCUCAAGUCAUGAUCAAACCAACUAGGCCCAAUUAAUGUAUUUGGAGGGCACCCAAGGUCCAACAACUAAAUAAUUGUCCUCCAUUCAAAAUGGUGGCUACCUCUCACAAUUUUAGCAAACCUUAAAUCAUAGAGGCAGUUACCUUCCAUGAUUGGGAGCAGCCAAGAUGUGGACCUAAUAGAAGGACCCACCUUCCUCAUUUUUAGCAAGCCUUGAAUUGUGGAGGAAGUUACCUUCUAUGAUGGGAGCAGCAAAAAUGAGAGGGAAGCUGAAGUUAUAUAAACGUCAUCUUUUAAUGUAAAUGAUACCUUUUGUUCUCUCCAUAGUAGUGGUUGUUUGAAUGAAAUAGUGAGUUCUAAGGUCAAUUCUUAUUUAAGAGUGUAUUAUAUGAGAGAUCCUUGAAGGUUGUUCAAGGGAUUAAGGAAUUGUGCGUCACUCGGCUUAGGACAAGCACAAAAAUGAGGUUUGUGCCAUUCCCUCCCUUGAUAUUCAUUGAUCUUGUCUCCAUAAUUUAUGUUAGGAAAUUUUCAUUAUUCUUCUAUUUAAAUUAUCUUAAUCGCAAUAUAAUUAUUCUCUUAGAUUAUUCACUAUAGAUUCUCUACUAUAAUUAAUUAUCACCUAUCUAUUUUAUUAUUUCUUCUAAAUCAUCUAUAAUCAAAUCUACUUCAAUGAAACUUGUACUAAUAUUAUAUAAAUAAAUUCUAAUCUCUUAAUAUCAUAACUUGUUGAGGAUCAAGCCUUACUCAUCAUAAACUAAAAGAGUGAGGUUGUAAUAAAUAUUAUUUAUUUGAACUUGAUUGCGCUCACAACAAUAAUUUUACCCCUAAAUUGAGUUCAUCACUAAGCCUCCCAAUGCUUACAAGGGGAAGUACUUGUCGAGAACAACAAUACAAAACCUUAAAGCACAAUUGAUCGAUGGAGGUGGAUAGCAUGUGUGUGUUAGAGGAGGGGGGCACCCCCUCUAAAUAAUGUGCACAUGUGUGAUGCCACUUCAACAUUGACAAAGCCAACAAAUAAUUUUUCAAUCUAAUGAAUUAAAUAAGGCUAUACUAUUUGAUGUAUCUAAUAAAAAAAUGAGUCUUCAGUUAUGACUUGGAAUUAAUUUUUUAAUUGAUUGAUAUGUUUUCUUACCUCACGCUCUUUAUGUUCAUUUUAUUUUCUGAAAUAUUACAAUUUAGGCCCUAUACUAUUCCAAGAAAGACUUACUUCUCAUUUCUAUACCCUCAAAAGUGGAGUCUCUCUUUCUCUCAACCCCCUCCGUCUCAACAUAUGAUUAUUCCUUAAUCGUACUUGAAUUCAGACUCUUACAUGUCAAUUUUGAGCUCAAUUGUCUACUAAUGGUGUACUUACAUCAUGGCAUGGGUCAUUUGCUUCAUUUACGUAUGGGCAUUAUGAAGGUGGAAGUUGCCUUCCAUGGUACUAGCUAUGGCACACGUGGAAGCUUUUAUAGCAACAAAUCUUCCCAAAAGCCUUGUGCAUAUAAGUGUAUGAAAUUUACACUCUAAGUAUUAGCCUUAUAUGUCAUUCAUGUACAUAUUUGUUCUUAAGUCUUUUCAAAAGUUGCUUAAUUGGGCUAGUGAUCCAUUUAGUAUCAGUGGCCCAUUUGAUCCUUCCACUGUUCACUUGUUGAUUGAUUCAAUUAUAUUUUUGAUAAUUGAUAGGGAAUAUUAAAGUAAAAUAAAUUUAAUAUAAAAUCAUGAAAUUGAUGACAAAGGGGAUUUCUUGUAUCAUUGAUUAAAGAAUAUUGAAGGCCUUGGUAAGUCAAAAGAGUUUUGAUGGUGAUCAUAUGCACAAAAAAAAAUUUUAGUAACCUCACACGUUGCAGAAUGAUUUAAUUGAUGAUCUUGAUUAUUGGAGAAUGAGGAUGUCUCACUUACCAUUCAAUUUCCAUCAUUGGUAGAAAACUUAAAUUGUAUGCAUAUAAAGUAAAUAAAAUGUUUGUGUAAGGUAAAGUAAUAUCCAAAGGAAAUUGUAGUUGAGAAAUUGUUACCUUAAAGUGUUUUUUCCAUCUAGCAUACCCUAAUUUGAGAAUAACUACCCUUUUUUAUUAUUUAUUAUAUUGGGCUGGUUCAUCUCUUUUUAAAUAGUCACUUAAAAUUGAGUAUUUUUUGGUGCAUACAUAUUGUUGACAAAGGAAAAAUAACUAGAAAAACAUAUUAUUCUAAGAAGAGUCCAUAAGUUUAUAUAGGAGAGUACAUAGGCCUGAUGGGCUUAUUCUAACAUCCCCAUCAAGCUAAAACAUAUAAGUCAAACAUGCAUAACGUGGUGCACGUUGCAUCAUAGGAGACCCCUAUGAGACUCUUGGUGAAGACGUCAGUGAGCUGAUGAGAUAAUGUGCGAAGUGGAGAUGACACUUAAUAUUACCUUAUCACGGAUGUAAUGACAAUCAAUCUCAAUAUAUUUUGUCCACUCAUUAAACAUAGGAUUUCUAAUAAUAAAGAUGGCGGCCUAAUUAUCGUAAUGCAUAGACAUUGGCAUUGGAGGUGAGAUGCCAAGGCUUUUGAAGAGCAAAUUGAGCCACACCAUCUCUCACGCUGUCUCAGCCAUGACACGAUACUUGGACUCAACACUAGAGCAAGAUACCACCUUCGGUUUCUUAGAGCACCAAGUGACAAGGUUGUCACCCACAUAUGUGCAAUAACUAGUGGUAGACUUGUGAUCUCCCUUGUCACCAGCAUAUCAUACAUCCGAGUAGGCUUCAAUCUGAAGAUGUUUAUGUCUUCGAUAGAUGAGCCCUCUUCUUGGAGAUCUUUUGAUGUAUGCCAAAACUUGUAAAGCUCCCUCAUAGUGAACUUGUCAAGGUUCCUACAUGAAUUGCUUAAGGACACUAAUCGUGUACAUGAUGUCGAGGUGAGUGACGGUGAGGAAAAUCAACUUUCCUAAUAAUCAUUUGUAUUGAUUAACAUCAACUAAGAGCAAAGAUGAUGUAUCUUAGAAGCGCAGACAAGCCUCCAUAGGUGAUGACUUGGGCUUACACCCAAAUAGUUUAGUUUCUUAAAGCAUAUCAAAAGCAUACUUUCGUUGAGAGAGAGCGAGUUUGCCAUCUUGAUAAGUGAACUCAAUCCUAAUAAAAUAUCGUGGAACUCCUAUAUCUCGUAUACUGAAGUGUUGUUGUAGGUAUGAUUUGAUAGCUUAAAUACUUACUACAUUACUUCUAGUCACAAGAAUGUCAUCGACAUAAAUCGUUAAGAUGAUAAUACUAGCUUUAGUAAUCUUUGUAAGUACUGUGAAAUUUGUAAGACAUGAAAAAAAUUCGAAUUGUGUUAGAAGACUACUGAACUUGGCGAACCAAGCAUGAUGACUUUUUUAAGUUUGUAAAUGAUAUGCUGCAAAAUAUACACUUUCAAUGACUCCCUCUGAGUAACAUACCUAGAAGGUUGCUCCAUAAAUACUUACUCCUCAAUGUUAUCAUAAAGAAAGGCAUUAAAAAUAUCUAAUUAAUGUAAAGAUCAUGACUGAUUCAUUGUUAGAGUGAAUAUCACUUGAAUAGAGUUGAGUCGAACCACUAUAGAGAAUGUAUUAAUGUAGUCGAUGACAUAAGCUUACGUGAACCCAUGAGCAACCAAACGGGCCUUGUGACAUGUAAUAGAUCCAUUUAGAAUAUACUCGUGUAAAGACUCACUUCCACUCAAAUACUUGUGCAGCCUCAACAUACGACCAUGGAAUCAACUCGAAGACCACAAAAAAAGCAAAGGUACGAAAGGAAAGAGAAAGGUGAUCAUAGGAAAUAAAGUGGGAGAUAGGGUGUGUACGCAUACCUUUGUAGAGAGCAAUAGGAAGAUGAAAGUCAUCCAUUGGAGUGUUAGAAGGGAUGACUAGAGAGGGGUUGUCGAUAAAGGAUGUGGACGAAUCUAGUACAAGAGCAGAAGAGUUAGAUAGUGACGAAGUCUAAGGUGCAUGAGGAGGGGUUGACAUAGAAGAAACUAGACAAGUAGGAAAAGUAGCAAAGGGAUCCACAAUGACCACCAAAGGAGGAAAAUAAGGUGGUGAAGAUACAACGGAUUGAGGAGAAGUCAAUGUUGGAGAAAAGAAAGACUCCUCAUGAAAAGUAACAGUAAUUGAUGUGACGUAGCAAUGAGUAUCAAGAAAAUAUAUAUGAUAGCCUUUUUUCAUUUAUGAGUAGUCAACACAGACCCCCUUGAGGGCAUGAGGGGCUAAUUUAGAAAGAGAAGGAGAGUGGUCUUAGACAAAGGUAGUGCAUCCAAAGACUUGAGGGGGUAAGGAAAAAAAAGGAAAAAUCAAGUGAAAGACAAUGAAAUAGAAGUACCCCACCAAGUGGGGCAGAUGAAAGUCGAUUUUGAAGAUAUAUGGUUGUCAAGAGAGCAUCAGACCACAAAUAAUGAGGAACAUUCAUCUCAAUGAGUAGUAUACAAGUAAUGUCAAAAAGUUGACAAUGUUUUUGUUCGGCAACACCAUUUUGCUGGGAUAUAUGUGGACACAUAGUCUAAUGAAGAAUGUCAUGAUCAACACAAAAUAUGUCAAACAGUCUUGGACCAGCUCCAAAGCAUUGUCGGUGCGAAGAAUCUUGGGCAUGGUAGAGUACUGAGUGAUGACCUCAGUAAUAAAGUGAACAACCAUUAUGUGAACUUAGGGGUACAAUCUUGUAGAAGAUAGACCUAGCUCACUUGAAUAUAGUCAUCAACAAAGACAAUGUAAUAGCGAUAGCCCGAGAUAGAAGGGAGUACAAGAAAGGCCCUAGACAUCACAAUGAAUGAGGUCAAAGAAUGUUAAGGAUAAAAUCUCAUCUCGACUUGAGUAUGAAGAACAAUGAUAUUUGCAUAACUAACACAACUCGCACACAAACUUAUUAAGAGAAGGCAAAGGUGAAGUUUUUUGAAGUUUUGCAAAACAAGGAUGACCUAAAUGAUAUGUCAUAGAAGAGAUGAUGUGGUUAUAGAGGAAGCAAAUAGAGCCCAAAGGCUAAAAGAAAGUUCAUCAAAAUUCAGCUCGUAAACACUACAUCUAUUCUUACACCCUAAACUAAUUCUCUACUUGGUAUGUAAAUCCUAAAAGGUACAAUGAAAAAAAAAAGAGCAAAUUAGGGCUCGAGUAAUAAAAUUGAUAGAUAAUAAGUUAGCAAGAAAUCUAAGAACAUAUAUAAUUUAGGUGAGAGGAAUAUUUGUGAUAACAACGACAUUGUCAUAGCUUUUGAUUGAACAAGUUUGACCAUCAACAAUGGUAACUAGAGGAUGAUGAGAAGUAGGCUGAUAAGAUGACAAAAUAGUGAGUGUGAGUCAGAAGCGAGGCAAAUUAGUUGAUGAAGAAGUCACAAUAUCACUAGAGUGACUAGUGCUUCAUAUUUAGCAGAGAUCAAUGUCACUUGGAAAGUUAAAGAAGAGUAGUGAAUGAUAUUAGAGAAGUUGAUGGAGGCAAGAAAGCCAGUUGUGCAAUGUUAGGUUUCCCAAAUUGUUUUCAACAUUUGUUAGGCAGAUGAUUCUACUUGCCACAAUAGAUGCAUGGAGGAAAUGGAUUAUGGCUCUUCUCUCAUGACGGACAACCACUAUAUGAUCUCGAAGCAAGAGGAUCAUGUGGCGCUCGAGGAGUGGAUGUAUCACCUGAGGGAGGAUGGUUAGAGUUGGUAUGUGGGGUGCUUGUAGUCACACAAAGAGCUGCUGAAAAAUGUGAGAGAUAUCAAGUACCCAUUUGUCGAAGAGAAUCAUGUUGCAAAUUUGAGAGGUGAUUGAUGGACGAAGUCCACUUAGACACACUAGCAAAGAAUUCUUGACGAUAGCAUUUGAAGGUGUGAAGAUCAAUGGUUGGUAACUGAUAUUUGACAAGCUCCUGAAUCAGGGCCUGAAGAUGUCAAAAGUGGACAUGAAGUGAUAAAUCUCACUACUUACAUGUAAGGAGUGACUCGAAGAUCUCUACUGUGAGGCUAAUAUUCAUUCGAUUAACAUACAUGUUCUCCAACGUUGUCCAAAGUUGUUGAGUAGGGCAAAUGCAGGUGAGAGGCUCAACAAUGGGCUACUCGAUGUUCUAAAGCAUAUAGGUAAGGAUAAUUGAGUUGAGUUGAGACCAAGAGGCAAAUGUAGGCAUAGUAAGCAUUGGAGGAUCAUCCGACAAAUGAUGGAGCAGAUUGUGGGAUGUAAGGAAGUGCUUGAAUCCAAAGGCCCACGACACAUAAUUAUGUCCAUUGAAGAUAUAUGCUAAUUGAGUGAAUUGCGCUGUGAUGGAGUGCCGUAGAGUAGCCAACCCGAUUAAAGGAAGAGUGACAACUGGCUGAAGAACUAGUGGAGGAGACACUUGAGACGUCAAGGAUUCGCCCACUUGAUCCAUAGACCAGGAUUAGUGGGAGACAACAUGACGUAGGAGGUAGUGUGCGGGGCACAAUAGUAAAACAUGUGUGUUGGGGUGCGGCAGUAGAACCUGCAUGCAACAAGGCUUGCACGUGGGGGCGCGCGGCGGUGACGAUGUGCAGAGGCAUGCGGGGCACCUGGAGAUGCACAUAGGGCACCGAGAGGUGGCACAUGGGGCUUGGGAGGUGACAUGCAAGACACGGGAGGUGGCAGUGAUAGUGUUCAUAGAGGUAGUAGUGGCGAUUGUGCCCCACAAGGAGGUGGUGUUGGAAGGGGACGUCAAGGAGGUAACACCGAAGGGGGGGGUCACUAGAGAAAGGAGUGCCGAUGAUGGAGGAGGCGGCACACCGUAGGCGACAAUGAGAGAACCCUAGGGCUCUAAUACCAUGUUGACAAAGGAAAAAUAAUUAGAAAAACAUAUCAUUCUAAGAAGAAUCCAUGGGUUUAUAUAAGAGAGUACAUGGGCCUGAUGUGCUUAUUCUAACACAUGAUUGAAGCAUAAUUCAUUCAUUUGAUUAUUGUUAAUUGAUCCUUGAUAGUUUUGUCAUCAUAAAAAUAUAGUCUUUAUGGCUCUAAUGCCUUGAUCCCUCAAUCUUUUAUUUUUCUUUUUUACUUUCUUCAUCUAAAUUGAAAUAUAUGUUCAUCUUAUGCCAAUAAAAUCAUAUAUAUAUAUGGAUAUUGGGUUCUUGCUAUAUUUCUUAUUUGAUACAGAGUUGUCUUUUUCUUAUAAGAUUAUGAUAUUUGAGAUGUCCAACAAUCAUUCAUAAUGGCUAUCAAGAACUUAAAAUUUGACCAUUACUUGCCACCAAAUGUUUGAAAUUUUAUUUGUGGAAGGAAUUUAGAUCCAACCUUUUUUUCAUUAUUGAGUAUUAGAUUUUUCACUUACCUUUUUAAACACAAGACAAUUUCUUAGUUUAAAAUUUAAAGGAUGAUUUACUAUGAUUGAUAAGUCGGUUAAUCAUACAAGUACAAAUGAUGUUCAUUAUGAUAAAUUAAAUACUCAACUUUCAUCAACAUUGUAUGUACAUUGCAAACUAUUUGAACUUUUAUCUACAUUGAAUGAAACUAUCAAAUAUUCACCAAAUAAACAUUCUAAUUGAAUCAAACAAGUGGCUCUAUGACAAAAACAUUUAAUUGCAUGAUCAAUAAAGCCAUUCUAAAUUUGAGAUUAAAAUAAACAUUACGACUAGUGUGUUGUACAUAGUGAAUUAAAACUUCUAAAGUUCCUCACUUAGACAUUAAAACUUAAUUCAACGAAAACCUCAAAUUUGAUAUGAAAACCUACAUUCUCAUCAAUUUAGUGCACAAUAAUUUAAACUUUUUAAAGUUUACCAAUGAAAAAUUAUAACUAAAUUCAUCAAACUAAUUUGAUAAUUAAAACAUUUGUUCCAUAACUAGUAAAGUAUUUUUAAUUUGAUUUUAGAUUCAAUGUAUGAAGUAAUUUAGUGCACAUAAUUUAUUACAUGUGGUGAUUAAAACUUCUAUUAUCUACAUCUAAUCAAAUUGUGUAAUGCUUAUUGAUUAAAGUAUUUAAAGAAUAAUAAGUGACAUAUUCAGAUAUCAUCAGAUUUAUUUCAAAUUUAAAUUUUAAAUAUUUAUGUAAAAAAACUAAUUACCUAAUCUUUUCAUGUGAUACACUUUAUUUUUAUUUCCUAUUUCUAAAUCAUGACCCUUGCCUAGUUCAGUGUUUAGCUUAAUAGGAACAAAAUUUGACAUUAAUUUUGUAUUCAUCCUCUACAUUUAUUUACUCUUAAAAACCCAUAAACUACUAUAAGUGAAGUGGUUUCUAAGGCACUCAAGGCAGGUGAUAUUAGAACUCUAUAUCACUCAAGGCAGGGUUAUUGAACUCGAUCCCUCCUUUGACAAGCAUGAGAUUCAGGUUCUUGUCACCCCUAUUUAUUGUAGACAUCACCUCACAAGCCUGCAUAAUGGGCUUCCUCUACUGUGGAGCAGCGCAUAUGCUGUAGAGGAAGGAAGGCUGGCUGGUUGAUCACCAUGAUAGACCAUGGCUUUGUUAGACCCACAUAUGUUAUUGGGCUCAUAGACCAUGUAUACUCUCAUAAGAGGAAAAGAUCAAGCCCACCUUGAGGGCUUGCAGGACAUGUGGCCCAAUGGAGGUGAAACCCUAGACUAUAAGUUGUUGAAGUUAGAGGGGCUGAAAGUUAGGGUUUGUUUUGACUAUAAUAGGGAGAGAGCUUCAUCUGAGCUCUUGGGACCACUCACUAAAGAAUGAGUGGAGGGGACCUUAAUGGUCUAUUUUGUCUAGUUGGCCUUAUUUCUUUUAUUCUUAGUUCUUGUUCAAAUGUGGUGUCCCCACAUCUUGGUAGUAAAGUCAUGACUCAUGACAAGAGGUGCUCUACGCAGUAACUAUUUAGGUUUGAUGUGGUGGAAAUAGAUAUCUCGAUUAUGCAGGAUCACAUGGGGCAAAUGGAGAGCAAUAUAAUGCACUUGCUCGGCCAACUUACACAAUGCUUUGACCAUCACAAGAUGCAGCCCCCGCCUAAAAUUGAAGAGGAUCAAGAUGCAUCUCUAACACCACUAAUCAAGUCGUCAAGGAUGUGUGACAUUAGCAAUGGGCUGAGAUCAUUAUUUGGUUGAACUUGUUAAUAAUCUCUAGAAUUGAGGACAUUGACACAUGAUUGACACAUAGUAACCCACCUAGAUAUUCUUAUAUUUAUGGGUGAUCGUUGAUACCUUUAUUUUUGGUAUUAUAAUGCACAUUUUUCUUUAUUAAUUAUUUAUUAAAUGACAAUAAAAUACUUAUUGAAUCAUUAUACAAGACAGUUUUGUGUUAAAUAGUUAUUAAAAUAAUUGAAUAUAUAUACGAUGAUUAAUGAUCUCAUGUUCCUAUGAUUAAUCAUCAGAUCUAAUAUUUUAAUUCUUGAGAUUAAUGAACUCUACAAUUUCAUUGUUAUUGUAAGUAUAAUUACCUCACUACUAUAAUCAAAUGACAACAUUAGGUGACAUCACCUUCUUCUGACCAUAAAGGCUCAGCAAUCAUGCCUCAAAUGGAUCAUUAAUAUCACCUUCUUCUUAUCACCAUAAAGUUGAUCCUCCCUUUCCAUUUUUAUAUAAAAAAAUUCAAAGGGGGUUCAGUGAGAAAAAAGAGAGAAAAAUCAGAGAUGAAAACCCUUUCUCUCUAAUGGCAAGAAAUAGGGCUCUAGAAUGUAACCCCUUAUGUGUCUUGGCUAGUGUUUUGUUCUCUUCACUUCACGUAUUUGAUUUGCUCAGUCACAGUAGAUAUUCCCCUUCCUACUAUGGUAGCUGUCAGAAAUUGUAUCAACCUCUCCAUAGAAAAUUGAAGAUAAUGAGUUGCGGAUAUUGUGCCUUCAUUGUUUGCAGCAAUACCAAGCCAUUUUCCUCAAAAUUAUCAUUCAAAGACAUCAGUGUAGGCUGCGGUUGAACUCUCCUCAUUUAUUAUCAAUUGCAUUUCAUGUACAAGGGAUUGAGCACAAGCUGACCACAGAUAAGGAGUCGGCCAGGGCUUCCAGACAACAUGGACAUUUAGCUGGAUCUAGGUUUGGAAAUGAUCCAGCUUGAAAGUUUGGGCCACUUUUUCUUGUCACAGAGGGAAAGCUGGGACUAUCCGACUGACUAUAGGACUAUUGCCAUAGGAAGGAUUCUUUUUAAUUUGUCCCUAAUGACUACAAAAUCUCAGUCUGUUUACCUUCCAUAUCUAUCAUUCUUCGUUUUGUUUCCAUUGCCUUACCUAUCCUCAUCAUCUUUAAUCUUGUGGCGGUAAUUCUACAUGCAGUUGAAUAUGGGUUUCAGCGACCCCGCCCGAGUCAUGUGGCUUGAAAUUGCCAACACUGGAGGAAGAACAGGAGCGGAAAAAACUGUCAAUAACUCAAUCUCCAUCUUCAUCAAGAAUUAUGCAGAAUAAAAUAAAGUGAGAGAUCUGGAGUAUGGAAGAUCUAAAGUGAGAUGUAUUCGACCACCACACAAAUAGACGCACGUUUUUAUGUCAGCCACGUACCUCGCCGACCACCGGGUCAAGACAAGCUAACGUAGUCGACAACUUUUCCUCGAGAAAGGAAAGGAGACGACUAGUCUUCUCUCUCUCUCUCUCUCUCUCUCUCUCUCUCUCUCUCUCUCUCUCUCUCUCUCUCUCUCUCUCUCUCUCUCUCUCUCUCUCUCUCUCUCUCUCUCUCUCUCUCUCUCUCUCUCUCUCUCUCUCUUGCUUAUGUCUCAUGUUACGCUAAAUUCCGUAAAUAUUUUAUUAGAUUCUGCUACCCAUUCUUCGCAUUACACAGAACGAUCAGAGGAGAUCGCCUCAAGAUUGUUAUUUCUACACAAUUUUAGGCGCUGUUCAAUUUCGUUGUCGGUGGAAGUCUGAUCGAUUGCUGUAGCAAUGUGAAAUCAACGUCAGGUGAUAUCACGUCCUUCUGUCAUUAUAAACGUCCAGUAAUCCCGCCCCAAACGGAUCCUCACAGUUGCAUUUUAUCGGAUUAGAGAGAUGGCUCUGAAGGCUCGCCACGAGGAGCAGGUACUAGGAUGGGGAAGCACGCAGUCGGUGCCCAGCGUCCAGGAGAUUGUAAGGAAGGACCCCCUCUGCGUCCCCGACAGGUACAUGAGAGGCUGCCUGGAGAAGGCCCCCGCCGAGGCCCUCGCCGCUUCCCUCGACGUCCCCGUGAUCGACCUCUCUCUGCUUUCCAGAGGCGACGAAGGAGAGAGACGGUGUCUGGACAACGCCUGCAAGGACUGGGGUUUCUUCCAGGUAACAAACGACAACCCACAAUCCACUUCUGAUCUUCUCUCCCUUUCAUAAACAUAGACUGAAUCCCGGCUUGUUCUCCCCCUUCUGCAGAUCGUGAACCAUGGCAUCAGCGAUGAGGUCAUACAGCAGAUUAGGGCGGCCGUGUCUGGGUUCUUCGACCUUUCCAUAGAAGAAAAGAGGAGGUAUGCCGGGGCGGCGAACGAUAUCCAAGGGUACGGGGAGGCGGUCGUCAUGUCUGAAGAGCAGAAGUUGGACUGGACCGACAUCCUUCUCCUGAUCACACAACCAAUCAAGCUGAAGAAUCUCAAAUUCUGGCCGACCAUAGUACCUUGUUUUGAGUAAGAACGACAGGAAAUCAAACAAAUUAUCGUAGCUUAGAUGAAAAUCAAAAUUACAUGACUGCCAACGACUCUGCUAAUCAAUCAGACUGGCCUGGGUGGAAACGGUUUUCUAACUUCUACUCUGCUCGAUUCCAGGGACGCCCUCGAGGCAUACUCAGCGGUCACCAAGGAGCUGCUCGCAAACCUUUCCCGGCUGAUGAACAUGGAGGAGGACCGCUUGCUACGGUUGCAUGGGGACUUGACGCAGAUCACGAAAAUAGCCUACUACCCACCCUGCUGUCGGGCAGACGAAGUCCAGGGGCUGAGCCCGCACACAGACAAAACUAGCAUCACGUUUCUUCUCCAGGACGACGACGUCACGGGGCUUCAAGUCAGGCACGGUAGCAUGUGGAUCCCUGUCAAGCCGAUCCAAAACGCAUUAGUCGUCAACGUCGGCGACGUCGUUGAGGUAUCCAUCUCUGAGCUUCUCCGGUCGCUACUUCUACGCCCCUACAAUCCCGAAACAUCACUUUUUUCUUGUAUGCCUAUCUGUCCACAUGUAUCUGCGUAUUGGCCUACAUGUUGAGAAGGUGGCGGAAAAAUGCAUGGUGAACUAAAGCUCAUUCUACUGGAUUUGCAGGUGUGGAGCAACGGUCUGUACAAGAGCGUACAGCACCGGGUCGUCACAAACAGGGAGAGGGCGAGGACAUCCAUUGGGACGUUCAUUCUUCCGCACAACGACGCGGAGGUUGGGCCGCUGGAGCAGAUGGUCGACGAACCCCAUCGGCCGAGAAGGUAUAAAACGGUCAGGUUCCUCGACGUCAUAAAGCCGCUUUAUCAAAGGGAAUUCGAAGGACAUUAUGUGGACGCGUUGGUUCUCAAAAAUUAACGAGCAGUCACGCUGAUAACCUCCCCAUCGUUUCCAGAGGAGGUGAAUAAGGAGCUUCGGUAUCCUUAUGCGCUCUCGUGUACUAAGAUUUCAAUUAUAUAUGAAUAUCGAUGAUAUUGCGGGAAUGUAAAAACCUUAUACUAUCUUCGUAUUAUUACUAUCUAAGGUCCUGAGAUUGCCUCCCAGUACAUGAUAGGGGCAUCGUUAAACAUGUCUCUGCAUCAACUGACGUGCUCGAGGCAACGGUGGCGGAACCUCACAGUGCAUGCAAGGAAAAGUACUGGUCGGGAACAAUAGUACAAAAGCUUGGGGCACCGUCGACGGAUGGAGGUGGAUUGUGUGUGUGUGUGUGUGUGUGUGUGUGGCAAGGGGGGGGGGGUUUGUGUGGUGGAGUCUUCUUACGUGUUCCCAUUUUUUGGUGGUGUCAAAGGGGCCAACCAGUAAACUACUCUAAAGGCAUGUGAUAGCUCCAUGCCACUCAAGGCAGUCAUUGAACUCAAACCCCGGCAUGAGACUCAGGGUUCUUGCCACCCCUAUUCCUCGUGGAGGACGCCUCAAAGGCCUACAUAUCUCAAAAGGUUUUAUUGUAAACUCUUUGCGUAAACAUAAUUCCGUGGGGUCACCCUGUCAUCUUCAUGAGCUGCCCUGAUGCGAGACAGAUAGAGAGAUUUAUGAUUUCCACAAAUAGACUUAAAGAAGAGGGAUAAAGGUUGACUUUUAGCAAAUUUACUUGGAUAGUCAAAUCACUCAACCUGUAAUAUGAUUUAAAUAGGAUCUAGAUUUAUAGUUGCCUUGAUUGAUAAUCCUAAUUUAAUAGGACAAAUCAAACUUAGAAAUAAGAGCUUUAGAUCAUUAAAUAGGCAAAGGUAGUUAUCUUAUAGGUUUCACACAAGAAUCUAGAGCAAUGGACUUCAAGAGAUGAUCAAAUUAAACACUUAAGAAGAAUGAAAAAUCAAAUACCUUAUAGAGAAUUCUUGAUUGCUUGAAGGUCCUCUAGACUGCUCGAGAAUGGCUUUGAUCUCCUUUACAAAUGAUUACCCACAAGUUAAAGAAGAGGUGUUAGUGGAUAACGAGAUGAGGUAGCCUGAUGUGGAGAAGAGAGGAAGUAUGCGUUGGGUGGGGAGGAGGAUGAUGGAAAUGGAGUUGAUCAAAUCUCUCACAAGGAUGUGAAAAUCAACUCAGAUGGUUCAAGGAAGAAACUUAAAGGGGAGAAUGAGAGAAAUUUAAGGGAGAAGGGAGAGAAGCUCAAGAGGAAAGAGACCUUCAAGAAAGAAAGAAAAAAGCCGAGUGAAGGGCUCGGGAGAAGGGAGAAGGGACUCGAGAGAGAGAUAUGAUUCAAGUGGGAAGAAAACACAAGAUUUUCAUUCAUUCAAUCUUCCUUCUAUUAUAUAAAAUGCCUCCUUAUUUAUAGGAGGGAAUGGGGUGGAUUAACCACCUUAAUUCAAGGGACACAUCCCUUCAUAUGAGAGGAGGAGAUAGAAGAUUGCUCGCAAGAAAUGAGUAGUUAUAACCACUUUCUCCUAUUUGAAAAGGUGCCUUUAACCACGAGAUCUAGAGGCCAUUUAGGCCCAUGAGGAGGUAGGCCCAUAGGAAAAGAUAGAAAAUUUUAAAAUAAAAGUCAACAGAGUUGACUAUGACCAUUAUAUAGGAUGAGAGGCUCUUAUAUUUAAGGAAAUGAGUUGACUAAAGUCUAUUGAAGCUUCUUGGGGUCAAAUAUUGAUUCAAGAUAAGGUUGAGCUUUGAUAAGAAGAGGUUGGAAGGAUUCAAGGAAGAUAAAAGGGUUUGACCAAACCUCUAAUGGGUGUUGACUUAGUCAAUGGUAGAUGUGAGGAUAAGGCUAUAGUGCCUUAGCCACCUCCUCAUAGCCUCUUUCUUUAUCUUUGACCUCAGUGAUCUUUAAGAUUUGAAUUUUCUUCCUCAAAAUCAUCAUGUUGACUUGGUGUGGAGGGAGGACUCUCAUCCUUAGGGAGUGUCUUAAUGAAGGCCUUGAUGUUACCUCUUGAUCCACUCCUUAUAUUAAGUUUGGAGAAUGGUGAGAUAGAGAAUCUUGAUCUUCAUCAUGCCCUGUGGCCACAUUGGUGGGGCCCGUAAGUGUUUGACACAGUGGCCGAACAAGACAUAGUCAUAUGAAAUUCCAUGGUCGUGUAACCUUGGAUGCAGUCGUGUGACAGAACAAGACACAGUCGUGUCUGAGGCAACAAAAGUGUUCGAUAGAAUGUGUCACAGAAACACGGUCUCGUGGAAUUCCAUGAUCUUCAGGUAUGCCAACAACGGGGAUUCCAUCGAGGUGUAAAUCUCUUCAAUCAGAUGAGGAACGACGGCGAGGGUCCGACCAUCUGACCUUCACGGCUCUCUUGACGGCUUGUGGCCGUGGGGGCUGAUCGAGCUCGGCAUUGCGUUCUUCCCCUCCAUCCAGGACGAACGAGGGAUCGAACCGAGAGCAGAGAGAGCACUAAGCCUGCGCGGCUGAUCUCCUAGCCCGCGCCGGAUGCCUCCUCGAGGCUCUUGAUUCGAUCGAGGGGAUGCCUGUGGCGCCGGAUAUGUUCGUGUGGGGGGCUCUGCUGGGGGCCUGUCGGAACCACGGAAACGUGGAGGUGGCGGUGGUGGCAGCUUCCCACCUGCUCAAGCUCGAAACCGAGCGACGGGGGAGCUAUUUGAUGAUGUCCAACAUCCUUGCUGGCUCGGGGAGGUGGGAAGAUGCUGUGAGGAUGAAGAUUUUGUCGAAAAGACAGACAUUGAAGGGGAACGCAGCGCACAGUUGCUUCCUCGUCCUACUGAUAAGGUGGCACCGAAUCUGGUGGCUGAGGGGAAGAGAUUAAUGGUGGGGUUUCCGCUAAUCAUCUUGUAAGAUCACAUCGAAUAAACUAUCGAUAACUCAUUCGCCAUCGUCAUCUACCGUCCGGUUGAUCGACUGAAAGCAUUCUUCCCUUCUUCUCAGAAUAAGGUGUCGAUCAUGCAUUAUGUGGAAUAAAAAAAGGUGAGAGAUUGGAGUAUGGAAAAGGUCGUCAUAUUCCAGAAGUAAACGAGAUUUGACAUGUUAGGGGAUGACUAUUAAAUUCUGUCUAAAGUCAACUGCAAUCGACCACCACAGAAAUAGACGCACGCACGUUCCCGUCAUCUUGAAGGCCCAGCAAUCCCGCCCCUGACGGAUCCUCAUAGUUUCCCUAUCACAAUUAAGAAAGAUCAAGCUUUGUGAAUAACAAAUAAAGUGGGAGAUCUGUGUAUGAAAGACUUCCUCCCAUUAUAGUCUGCCGUUAAAACCUGACUUGCCGACCACCCGCUAAUGAUAAGCUGACGUAGUCGUCGGCUUUUCCACGGAAGGGGAAAGGGGACUCUCUCCCUCCCUCCCUCCCUCCUCUCUCUCUCUCUCUCUCUGCGACACCCUCGAGAGCAUUCUUUGCAUGACAGAAAACAAUCAGCAGAUUGCAUCUACAUACUUUAUUCCAUCAAAUUUUAACGCACGGUUCAAUUUCGUUCUCGUUGGAAGUAUGAAUGCAUUGCCACUGUUAUCUGAAUUAUCUGAGAUAUAAACUCAAACAAUAACAUCAGAUGAAACCACGUCCUUCCCGCCGUUAUAAAGCCCAGGAAUCUCUCCCCAGAUGGAUCCUCACAGCUGUAUUCGAUUAGAUUAAAGAGAUGGCUCAGGAGGCUCGCCACGAGGAGCAGGAACUCGGAUGGGGAAGCUCGCUGCCGAUGCCCAGCGUCCAGGAGAUUGUAAGGAAGGACCCCCUCUGCGUCCCCGACAGGUACAUGAGAGGCUUCCUGGAGAAGCCCCCGGCCGAGGCCCUCGCCGCUUCCCUCGACGUCCCCGUGAUCGACCUUUCUCUGCUUUCCAUCGACGACGAAGGAGAGAGACGGUGUCUGGACAACGCCUGCAAGGACUGGGGUUUCUUCCAGGUAACAAACGACAACCCACAAUCCACUUCUGACCUUCUCUCCCUUUCAUAAACAUAGACUGAAUCCCGGCUUGUUCUCCCCCUUCUGCAGAUCGUGAACCAUGGCAUCAGCAAUGAGAUCAUACAGCAGAUUAGGGCGGCCGUGUGUGGGUUCUUUGACCUCCCUAUAGAAGAAAAGAGAAGGUACGCCAUGGAGGCAAAUGACGUCCACGGGUACGGGCAGACGUCCGUCGUGUCUGAGGAGCAGAAGUUGGACUGGUCAGACGUCCUGCUCCUGAUCACACAACCAAGCAGGCUGAAGAAUCUCAAAUACUGGCCGACCGUAGUGCCUGGUUUCAAGUAAGAACGAAAGAAAAUCAAACUAAUUAUAGUAGUUUAGUCGAAAAUCCAAAUUACACGACUGCCAGCGCUCUGGAAAUUGAUCAAACUGACCUCGGAAGACAUGGUUUUCUAACAGCUUUUUCUUCUCCGCUCUCGAUUCAUGGGACUCCCUCGAGACAUACUCAAGAGAGCUAGGGAGGAUCAGCAAGGAGCUGCUCUCAAACCUUUCCCGGCUGAUGAACAUGGAGGAGGACCGCUUGCUGCGGUUGCAUGGGGAAGUAGCUCAAACCAUGAGAAUAACUUACUACCCACCGUGCGACCGGGCAGACGAAGUCCUGGGGAUGAGCCCGCACACGGACAAAACUAGCAUCACCUUUCUCCUCCAGGACGACGAUGUCACGGGGCUUCAAGUCAGGCACGGCGACAUGUGGAUCCCCGUCAAGCCGAUCCAAAACGCAUUAGUCGUCAACGUCGGCGACGUCGUUGAGGUAUCCAUCUCCGAGUUUCUCCGGCGGCUAGUUCUACGCUCUUACAUCCCCAAAACACCACUCUUCUUAUAUAUCUGUCAAUAUGUAUCUACGUAUAAACCUACAUGCUAAGAAGAUGGCGGAAAAAUUCAUGGUGAAAUGAACUCACUCCACCGGAUCUUGCAGGUGUGGAGCAACGGUCUGUACAAGAGCGUAGUGCACCGGGUCGUCACAAACAGUGCGAGGGCGAGGACGUCCAUCUCGAUGUUCUUUCAUCCGCAGAACAACGCGGAAGUUGGGCCGCUGGAGCAGAUGGUGAACGAGCCCCAUCGCCCGAGAAGGUAUAGAACGGUCAGGUACAUCGACGUCCUAAAGCACCUCCAUCAGAGUGCGAUUGAAGGAAAUGAUGUGGGCACGUUGGCUCUCCAAGAUUAAUAAUCGCUCGCGUUGAUAAUCUCCCCAUCUUUUCCAGAGCAUAUAAUAAGGUGUGUCGGUAUCCUCAUGUAUUCUCGUGUAAUAAGAUUAUGUAUGGAUAUCGAUGACAUUGUGGGAAUAUAAAAACCUUAUACUAUCAUCGUUCGAGGCAUCGUUUAACAUGUCUCUACAUCAACCGACAUGCUCGAGGCAAGGACGGCCGAACCUCCCAGUACAUGCAAGGAAAAGUACUUGUCGAAAAAACCAGUACAAAUGCUUAAACCACGGUGGAUGGAUGGAGAUGGAUAUAGAGUGAGUGUGUGUUUUAGGAUCGGAGCGGCGAUUCCGAGCGGGCAUAUGUAUUUAUACAUUGCCNNNNNNNNNNNNNNNNNNNNCUCUCUCUCUCUCUCUCUCUCUCUCUCUCUCUCUCUCUCUCUCUCCCUCCCACUCUCUCGCUCAAACCCCCCCCAAAACAUUUGACUGUCUUUUUUCAUACUAAAGUAGAUCUGGAGUAGGUAUUUCAAUCGAUUCAGUCACUUACCGGUCAAUUUUGCGCUCGGUUGUCCACUUAUUGUGAACUUCCAUUAUGUCAUGUGUCCACUAUUUCAUUCGCACAAGGUCUUUGGGGAGGACUUUGCCUUCCAAGGUACUAGUUGUGGUGCACAUGGAAGCUUUUAUAGCAACAACUCCUCCCAGAAGUAUGUCUCAAAAUUGCACUCCAAAUAUUAGUCCCAUAAUUUACGCACAUACCUGUUUAUAAUUAUGUGUCAUUUCAAUGUCCUACAGGCGUUUGCCUCUGUAGCAUACCACCAAAUGGCUUCACCAAGUUAUUUGCUCUCAUCUAGAGCAUCAACAAGACAUCCACUACUGAGUUAUACGAGAAAUCCUCAAAUCUCGUGCCUAAUUUUCAGGAUCAUGUGUCAUGGUCUACAAUAUGUAUGCACCUAGUCAUAUUCUAGUGACAACGCAAUCACAACAAAGGUAAACUACACAAAAUUUCAUUGCCAAUGAUAGCAUAUGAUUGACUCUCAAAUACCAUAUAAAAUUCACGUUAUCAAACUAUAAUAAUGUGAACGCAACCUCCAAAACCACAUGCUAAAAUUUAGAGAGAGAUCAGGGGACGUGAAUCAAGAGAGGUCAACACCGUAGGGUCUGUCUGUUGUCCCCUCAUUGCCCCACUAUCAGCGGUAACAGUGGCCAAAGCAUAACCCUCUUACGUGACCAUAGUCAUUUAUUUUUCAGCCCUUCACCACAUUCAGCUGUGUUUCCCUCACGUCCUAUAUACUACCGAAGAGCUCACCUGCUGGCUUAUCGAGUUUCUAACUUCCACAUCGUCACUUGGCCAACGUAGGUAAGAGUUUCUCCUUUGCUAGCAUCUAUGGAAUGGAAGAGAAGAAAGAUGGCUUACUUGGAUCAACACGAGGCUUUGUUCUUAUUGCUGGCAUGAUUGCUCAGUUUGAACUACAAAAGGAAUGGCAAGAGACAUGUUUGGCAAGUAAAUUAACCCAAAUUCACGAAUUUUCAACUCCUUAUUAGACUCCCCAAAGUAUGAACAUAAAACCAAGAGAACUUUCGUACACAAUUAUUCUGACAUAACAUGAGAUGAACAUAGUGCAUUGGUUCCAUAACAGAUAAACUAAAGUCUUAAUUUACUAGUUAAAAACAGAACCUCGGCUAUAGAGGCAGCAAAAUGUUUGACAGAAAAAUAUUGUUUGGGUAAAAGAAGAAGAGGAAGGAAAAGGACACUUGGCAACAUGUUAAUCUUAUCUUUUAGAGAAGACGAGUGGACUCCAGAAACAUCACCACUAAAUGAGACCAUGCUUGUUCUCAGAAAGACCUCAACGUUUUCUCGUAAUAUUCUUUUAAUUGUUAUAUGUUUAUUAUAAUAUUUCUUUUUACUAACAAGAAUGUACCACUAAUUAUUAAGGAACCAAAAAAUUACAUGGAAGCAGAAAAUUCUUAUAAACAGCAUUCAUAAAUAACUAAAUUUAAAUAUAAUAUCUCAAUAUUUUGGUACUUUCACAUUGACCUAGAGUGUCAAAGGAGAAUAAUAGAAACUUUUUCCCUAAAUAUUAAAACAUCAUGAAUCAAUACUCAUAAAGCAAGCAUGGUCGUGUACUUUUGACUGGAACAUUUGUUUAAUAGAGAGGCAUCACUAGAGAGACCUUUAGCAGGUUAAAAUAUCUUCUAUGCCUUUUAAAAGAGAAUGGCAUACUUAUACAGAAGCUGACUAUGAAAUUUGUUGAUAUUAAGGAGGUGGCAAGAUAUAUUUCAAUUCUUGAAGUACAAAUGAGCAAAGAUUGAGGUAGAUAUCCCAAAGAUCAGCAAUUUGAGAAUAGAAAGAAUGAUUCUCUAAUUAAAAAUUUUCAUUUAAAUUUAUUAUCUAUCGAAUUAUGAAUUCAUUGACUCAUCUGGAUCCGAUAUAUUUCAAUUUAUUCCACUAUAGUCUUAUCAAUGUGGAGAGUAAUUAGACAUCAACUGGUCAAUUAUUCAUGUCAAAUUUCAUACAUUACAAUGUAUAUGAGUGAAAUUUGAUCCACAUUGUUGAUUGUGUCUCACUCAUCAAUGGACAUGAUUCUCUAAAAGUUAAAAAUUCAGAUGAUUAAAGCUAAAUUGAAUAAUUUCUAACAGAACAAACCCACACCUGCCUAUAAAUACGACCCAAAUUUUGAAAAACCAGGCAUUUUCUCACCUUUAUAAGAGUUGAGCCUAUCUUAAAGCCAUCGCUUGUAAGUAAAUUUAAUUUUUUUUCAAAAUCUCAUGUUUUCAAACUGACCUUUAAUAAUUUAAAUAUUUUCUGGAUCUCAAGAGGCACUUAUUAUUGAGUUCUUAAAUCUUGAUUCAUUUUAUCUUCCCAAUUUUGAUUUUCCUUAGAAAUCUAUCAUAUAUAAUGGCUAGCUUUUCCAACUCAAAUUGAGAUCUACACCAAUCUUCUGGAUAUAAAUAAUCAUUAUGGAAACAAUUAUCCUUUGCAAAAAGCUGAUCUUACAACUUCCAUUGAAUUUUCUUCACAUUAGGAACACAACACUCAUGAAAUCGUACAAAAUUUCAAAAUUUCUAGAAAAGCCUAUUAUGUCCCCAAGCCUGCUCUAAAAUCAAGUGAUAAAAUCCAUAUUAUUUUUCAGAAAAAAGUAGGAUCGCUUUAUCUUGUCACCACAAAAUGUAGAAAUGAUCUUGAAUUAGUAAUUAAAUUUUAACAUGCCUAGAUAGCUAAUGGAACCUUUAUUACCAAAAUUAGAUGAAAUAUUUGCCCCAUUAAAUGUUAUAUUAUUGCUUAAAUAUAUACCAAAUGAGAGUACUUUUGAACAACAACAGAUAGAGGAAUGUUGCAAUGCAAUUCCAUGAAGAAAAAAGGAAAUAGAUUUGGCUUACCACUAUUUUCAAUAUAUCAAAAAACUUAUUUUGCAAAUUUCAUCAAAAACUCAUUAUUUGACCAAAUGCUAAAAAUAAAGUAUCAUUAAUUGACAUUUUCCUUUCGCAUUCUAAAAACUAUACACAUCAAAUUAUCUAAGUUAAUUCCUGUUUGGAUGUAAUAAAAUCAUUUGAUAACUAAGUCUUAUUCACCACAAGUGUUGCCAUCACUGUUUUGUGUAAUACUUGCAAAUUGAUCUUCGAAAAUAAAAAAUCACAAUGUCUAAUUUACUCAUAUGAGAACAUAAAAUCUAAACUAUUUUAAAUGAAAUUCGCCCAUUCUUCCAUUCACUUCCUUGUCGGUAUGCGCUCUCUUGGCAUACUAACUCUGAACUUGAGCAUCACCUAUUGCUUAUGGAGUGUUGUCUUCAAUGGACCUUAACAAUUUCUCUAACUUUUACUGAUGAAAAAAAUAAGACAAAGAAAGUAUAAGCCUUGAGUAGUGUGAAAGUAAGGGGGACCUGAAAUUUCAAGGGAAGAAAAUACAAAGUAAAGCGAGAGUAUAGUAAGGGUGAGUUCAGGAAAAAAUAGUGAAUCUACUUAAUGCAUUAUAAAAAAAAUUUUAAUUCUAAGAGAACUAUGUUCGACUAUAAUACAAUAGAAUGUUGAAUUCAUUUUUUCAUCGUAGUUAAUGGUUUUUGUUUUAUUUUUUACAUUGAAUAUUUCUAACAAUGAUUUUAUGUGAAAAUGACCUUAAAAAUUAAGAAAAAUUUAAUUAUACUAAUUUCGUAAAUAUAUUUUUUAAAAAAUGAUUAUUUGAGUUUAAUAUUUCCAAAUUUCUUUAAAUAUGCUAUUCCAUCUGAACUUUGAAUCUAAUGUACCAAAUUAGAACCUUGUAGUGAUUUUUUUGAUUCUCUAAUCAUUGAAAAUAAAGUCUAGAUAUAAUUUUAAAUUUUUAACUUUUUUCAAGGCAUAAAUGAUAAAUAGUUUUAAUUAUGAUUAUGUCCUUUUCAUCACCAAAAAAGGGGCAUUAUUAGCUUCAUGAUAUUUAAUUAUCCUAAAAAAAGUUGAUGAUGACAAACGCACAAAAAAUAGAUCAACUUAUACUGAAUAUUUCAUAUACACAUGACACAAGUGAUGUUCAGGACAUAUGCUUGAAUUUUAAUAAGUAUAAAUUCGUGGAGAAUACAUAAUAAUGAUGUCAAGCAUCCAAAUGAAAAUUCACUAAACGUAUUUACUUUUUAUAUUUUUAAUUCGAUAUUUUGGAUGAAUUUUCUGUUAUAAAUAAUUAUUAGUUUAAUAUUUUAUAAAUUUCUGAUUAUUAUGAAAAUUGCCACUAACAAAAAGUAAUGAUGUUGACAUCAUGUUUUGUGUGAAUAUUUAAAGUAACAUUUUAAUAUAAAAUUUAAUCAAUACACUAGAUGUAUAUGAUUUGAAAAUAUGCUUACAAUUAUUUUAGAUGGAGAAUUAAUUGAUUGAAUAUGAACUGAAUAAAUAAAUAUUUAGGAUUUUAUAAAUAUUAUUGAAUAUUAAUUUAAUAAAAAGUCAUGCAUACCACAGAAGUAAUGAUGUCAAAUACUGCUAUGAAGAUUAAUAUGUCUACUUCAUACUCAUAUUUUCUUUAAGAUGAUCUAGAUUUAAUUGGAUUUAAGAUUAUUUCUUUAUCUAGUGAUGUAUAUUUUGUCAUGUUUAUAACAAUAAUGGAUAUUAAUAACUUCAUAUUGAUACAUUACAUAUUAAUAUCAAAUUUUAUUUUUUAAAUUUGAUGAUUUUAAAAAACUUAAAUGAUGCAUCAUAUUAGCUUUCAAUCAUUCAAGUUUCUAACUAUCUUUAAAAUUUUAACAUUUACUAAUCACAAAAAACAAAGGAAGAGUGUGGCUCAAAUAUAUCUAUAAAUACAAACCUUAUCCAAUUGCUAAGUACUUUAGAAUAAUCAUCCAUGAUUGAUCUAUGUUAUUAAAAAUAUAUCUAACAAAAUUUUCUGAUAAUUUAAAUAGUUUUUGAAACUUGGUUCAACAACAUGAAGAUAAUAUGUUAGGAAGCAAUUCUUUAUUUUACAAUGAUCUACCUCAGCCUAAUUUUAGCAAAAAACUCUUUUGUAAUUAGCCUCCAAUCAUGAAGAGAGAAGGAAAUAAAGAAAAAAUUAACUGCCUCUUCAUUAAAUUCUAGAUAGGAUUCAAGCUUUUCUCAAAUUUUGGAAAACAAUAGUGAUGAUAUUUUAGUUUUGUAUUUGAUUACCUCUGACUUAAUCAUUCAAGAGAACUGAGUUCUAUAAACAGCUUUCGCCCACCGAAAAUUAUGAAUGUAUAAGAGAAUUUUAUGAGAAAAUUUUAAGAGUGUUGAACCUCACAAUCAUCAAUUGUUGUUACACCUUACUUCUGUAAAACCCAAAAAAUAGCAUUCAUAGAGGGUGAACAUGGGUAGGAGACUAAACUACUAUAAAACAUUGUGUAAUCAAGAUUCGAAUCUAGUAGAUUCAAGAGAAUGUAUAGUCAAAAGAAAAUAUCAAAAAAAUAGAAUAAUUGACCCAAGGCCAAAAUUAAGACAUAAUUGAUUCAACCAUACCCUCCCCCCCUCCCCCCCUUCUUCUUGAUCUAAGUAUGGUCAUAAACUCAACAUAAUGGGGCAUGAAAAAAAAUGGGAAGAACUCUAACCCUUUCUCUUAUCAGCCUUCUUCUUUCCUUUCUUACAUGUUGUUCUUCUAAAUUACAUUAUGUGUUUAUGUUUUACUGAUUAAAUCAAGGAUAUUGACCUUGUGGCUCUUGCUCUCUUCUUGUUUGAUAUGGAGAUGGGAUUGUAUUAUAUAGGAUGAUGUUAUUUGAAAUGUACAACUACGUUUCACAAUGGCCACAAAGAACUAAAAAUAUGAUCGUAGGUGUCACAUCAAUGCAUGAAACAUCUAUUCAUGAAAUAAAUUUACUUCUAAAACUUAUUUUAAUGAUUGGAUGUUGCUUUGAUCUCUCACUUGUUGAAACAUAAGAAAAUUUCUUAAUUCAAUUCUCAAAGGUUGAUUUACUAUGGUUGAUGAUUAAGUUUGUCAUAAAAGUAUCUUAAUUCUUCUCAGUGCUGAAUUAAAUACUUUAUUUGCAUCAAAAUUUUCUGCACGUUGAGAACUAUUUUAAAUAUUGUGUACAUUGAAUGAAACUUUCUAUUGUUCACCAAGUAAACGUUUUAAUUGAAUUCAAUCAAGUAGUUUUAUGAUUGAAAUGUUUAUGCUUUGAUUGAUAUUUUUAAAAUUUAAUAUUAUAAUCAACAUUUUGGCUACUAUGCUGCACGCGGUGAAUUCAAUUGUCUAAAGUUUUGCAAUUAGAUAUUAUAAUUUAACACAAGAAACAUUUAAAAAUUGACAUAGUAACUGACAUUACCAUUGGUUUAGUGCACAAUAAAUUAUAACCAAACUCAUCAACUUAAUUUGAUGAUUAAAACUUUUGACCUAUAAUUAGUAAAAAAUAAUAACUUGAUAUUAGAAUUCAUAUGUGAAGUAAUCUAGUGUCCACAAUUAAACUAGUCAUUUUGAAGUGUGUCGAGUAAUACUUGUAUAUCUACGUCCUGUUGGACAUCUAAUGCAUGUCAAUUAAACUAUCAAAUAUUUCCAUAAACAAAACUAAUUUUACAUGUAAUAAAAUAAAAUUAUGAUAUAACUUUGUGACAUAAAUAAGAUCUAAAAUAUAUAUAGUGUUGUCAGCAGUCAUUUCACCAGCCUUAGCAAACCUUUUCGAUUCUCUCAACUCUUUCUCAAAGUGUGAAAUUAUCUUGGGAUAAACUGUUGAGUUGCUCCACUUGUCACUAAAUUUUAGCAAUUCAGCUAUUAUUCGUGGUAUACCUAGUCUUUUCACGUGAGACACAAUAUGCCUAGGUUUUAUUUGCAUGUUUCUUCAUCAUGUUCCUUGCCUAGUCAAAUCUUCAGUUUAAUAGGAAGAAAAUUUGACGCUAAUUCAAUAUUUCUUCCUUCUCUUCUUCACAGUUAUAAACCCAUUUCCUUGUGAUAGAAGCGUCAAAGGUGCUAAGAUUGUCGCCGUGGUCGAUACGUGGUGGUCCAUCCUCUUGGCCUUGGCGUCCAUCUCCUCCCAGCUAAUUGCCCACCGGUGAGGAUCGGAGCCCGAUUCAGCGAGCUCCUGCUGUGAAGGCAGGUGAUACUACAGCUCCAUUCCAAUCAAGGCAGUCAUUGAACUCAAGCUCCUCCAUUGAUACGCAUGAGAUUCGGGUUUCUUGUCAACCCUGUUCCUCGCGGACGCCGCCUCAAAGCCCUACACACCGGGGUUCCUCCGCCGUGGGGCGGCGCAUGCACUGCCGAAGAGGGAAGGCCAGCCGUUGGAUCGCCAUGAUAUGCCGUCACUCCCGCCAGGGCCGCUACGGAGAGGCCCUCGACCUCCUCCGCGACCUGCAGCGGCGUGGCCAGCGGCCGGGGCGUUUCAUCUUUCCCAGCCUCCUACGGACCUGCGGAGGCCUCUCGGAACUCGGCACAGGAGAGCAGUUCCACGGGUCCGCCAUCCGGUCGUCCUUCGACGCCGACGUCUUCGUCAGCUGCGCUCUGAUCGACAUGUACUCCAGGUGCGGCCGCAUCGACGGAGCCCGUAAGGUGUUCGACGAAACGGUCGAACGAGACACAGUCGUGUGGAACUCCAUGGUCGCGAGCUACGUCCGCCUGGGCUUCGCCGGCGAUGCGAUGCGCUUAUUCGUGAGCAUGGUGAUCGGCGGGCUCCGGCCGGAUCUCACCACCUGGAAUUCCCUGAUUUCCGGGUGCUCCUCCAGCGGAGAUCUCAAGAUUGCCAAGUACCUGUUCAGAUCGAUGAGGUUCCAUGGAGUCGAGCCCGACGUUUUUUCCUGGACGUCCCUCAUUGCUGGGCUUGUGAGACAUUUCCGUGGGCCAGAGGCCUUCGAGGCGUUCAGACAAAUGACGGGGGUGGCAGGCGUCCGGCCGAGCUCGGCGACGGUCAGCAGCCUGCUCCCCGCCUGCGCUAAUCUGGCCGACGAGAGACGCGGGACGGCUCUGCACGCCUACGCGGUGGUCACCGGCCUCGAAGAAGAUCUGUUCGUCAGCAGCGCCCUGGUGGACAUGUACUCCAAAUGCGGGUUUCUACCCGAAGCGGCCAAGCUGUUCGAUAGAAUGCACCACAGAAGCACCGUCUCGUGGAAUUCCAUGAUCUUCGGGUACGCCAACAACGGGACUUCCACCGAGGCUGUAAAUCUCUACACCCAGAUGAGGAACGACGGCGCCGAGCCUGACCAUCUGACCUUCACGGCUCUCUUGACGGCAUGUAGCCAUGGCGGGCUGGUCGAGCUCGGCAUGUCGUUCUUCCGCUCCAUGCAGGACGAACGAGGGAUCGAACCGAGAGCGGAGCACUAUGCCUGCGUGGUUGAUCUCCUAGGCCGCGCCGGACGCCUCCUCGAGGCUCUUGAUUUGAUCGAGGGGAUGCCUGUGGCGCCGGAUAUGUUCGUGUGGGGGGCUCUGCUGGGGGCCUGUCGAAACCACGGCAACGUGGAGGUGGCGGUGGUGGCGGCUUCCCACCUGCUCAAGCUCGAAACCGAGCGACGGGGGAGCUAUUUGAUGAUGUCCAACAUCCUUGCUGGCUCGGGGAGGUGGGAGGACGCUGUGAGGAUGAAGAUAAUGGCGAAGAGCCAGACAUUAAAGGGGAACCCAGGGCGCAGUUGGAUAACUACUGCGUGACUUCAAUGCUUCCUGGUUCUACUGAUAAGGUGGCACCGAAUCUGGUGGCUGAUGGGAAGAGAUUAAUGGUGGGGUUUCCACUGAUCAACUUCUAAGAUCACUGUAAUCACCUCUAAAGUCGCCUAGACUCGUGCUCUAAAGAAAACACAUGAGAUCACAUCAACGAGACAAGGCAAUCUAAAUGGAGACGAAGGGAGGGAGGGAGAGAGAGGGAUAAGGUCACGUGAUACAAGCACCCAUCUUUGGUUCAAGGAUGUCUUUUUCCUACGUUCAAAUGAUCGGGGGUGAUUGGGAGAUUUACACCUCCGAGUAGAACUUAUGACGACCCUGUACAUUAUGUUAAAAAUUUUCAAACAUUAAUAACUAGAAAUGAACAUAUUUAACCUUAGCAUUGAUACUAUUCUAAUCAUAAUUUUAUUAUUUUGUGUUAGUUUAUCUUCUAACUCUAAAUUGGCAUUUGAUCCAAUGAUUGCCAUAUAGUUGGAUCUAGGCUUGAGAAUGAUCCGACUUGAAAGUUAGGACCACUUUUACUUGUCACACAAUCCUCACUUCUCUGUCUCUCUCCGUCUCUCUCUGUCUCUGUCUGUCUGUCUGUCUGCGUGUGUGUGUCUCUCUCUCCUCUCUCUCUCUCNNNNNNNNNNNNNNNNNNNNNNNNNNNNNNNNNNNNNNNNNNNNNNNNNNNNNNNNNNNNNNNNNNNNNNNNNNNNNNNNNNNNNNNNNNNNNNNNNNNNNNNNNNNNNNNNNNNNNNNNNNNNNNNNNNNNNNNNNNNNNNNNNNNNNNNNNNNNNNNNNNNNNNNNNNNNNNNNNNNNNNNNNNNNNNNNNNNNNNNNNNNNNNNNNNNNNNNNNNNNNNNNNNNNNNNNNNNNNNNNNNNNNNNNNNNNNNNNNNNNNNNNNNNNNNNNNNNNNNNNNNNNNNNNNNNNUCUCUCUCUCUCUCUCUCUCUCUCUCUCUCUCUCUCUCUCUCUCUCUCUCUCUCUCUCUCCCUAUUCCGCACAAAUACCCAUGGGGAAAUCAUGGACUGUCGGGCUGACCAUGAAACGAUUAUCAUGUCUCUAAUGACUACAAAUAUCAGCCCAUUUGCCUUCCAUCUCUAUCAUUCUUCGAUUUGUUUCCAUCCUCAUCAGGUAUCCAAGAUUGAUUCGCUCGCUAGAGUUGUUUGGAGACGAAAUCCGGCUAGGGAAGCAUCUUCUGGUGUUAUCUCCCGGAACCUUCAAAAUCUCGCCGUUCAGAUAACCAUAGAGAGUCUUCUCUUCUGUCGUUCUCCCUCGCCGUUGCCAUCAAGCGAAGAGAAAAAAUUGGCUUCUCGUUCAGCUCUGCCCCUCUUCCUCCCCCUUCUUAGCCGCCUCAGAACGGUUGGUCUUCCUGAGUUAUUCCAUCUAGACGCUCGUACUGAUAAUGCCGCCGUUGAAUCCACGUGGUUGACUCCGGGGAUGAUUUGUUGGCCCGUUCAAACACGAUCCUCCCUUGAGAAUAAGUUCAUGAAUACGGCCGAACUCAAAACGCAUCUGAAAGCGUGCAGUUGACUCCAGGUUUCAACGGCCUCAGCUGACUCGUGUAGCCUUAAAUUGCUACCACCUAACGAAGAACUGGAGCGGAAUAGGUAUUGAUUACUCGAUUGCAUCUUCAUCUGCUAUCUAAUUGACGCACGUUUUUCGGAAUAAAGCAUGUUAGACGCACUUUUUUUUGUCCACCACCGUACCACGCCAAGAAGCCGGUCAAAAUAAGCAAAGGUCAUCAUCAUCUCUCUCUCUCUCUCUGUACCUCUCAUGUUACGCAAAAUUCCGUAAAUAUUUGAUAAGUUAUUUUUGCCUCGGGAGCAUUUUUUGCCCUGCAGAGAACGAUCAGAAGAUCGCCUCAAGAUAUUUCUUUAACGCGUAGUUCAAUUUUAAAGUCUUAUUACCUAGCUACAGCAAUCAAAUGACAACAUCAAAUGACAUCACGUACUUCCCAUUAUCAUAAAAGCUCACCGCCCCAGACGGAUCCUCACAGUUGCAUUCAAUCGAAUUAGAGAGAUGGCUCUGGAGGCUCGCCACGAGGAGCAGGGACUCGGAUGGGGAAGCUCGCUGCCGGUGCCCAGCGUCCAGGAGAUUGUAAGGAAGGACCCCCUCUCCGUCCCCGACAGGUACAUGAGAGGCCUCCUGGAGAAGCCCACGCCCGAGGCCCUCGCCGCUUCCCUCGAUAUCCCCGUUAUCGACCUCUCACGGCUUUCCAUCGGCGACGAAGGAGAGAGACGGUGUCUGGACAGCGCCUGCAAGGACUGGGGUUUCUUCCAGGUAACAGAGGGCUAUCCAUGAUCAAUUUUUGGCCAUCAGCCCCAUUCAUGAACAUGGACUAGAUCCCGGCUUGUUCUCCUCCUGCUGUAGAUCGUAAAUCAUGGCAUCAGCGAUGAGGACAUACGGAAGAUGAGGGCGGCCGUGUCUGGGUUCUUCGACCUUCCGAUUGAAGAAAAGAGGAGGUAUGCCAUGGCGGCGAACGAUAUCCACGGCUACGGGCAGGUUUUCGUCGUGUCCGAGGAGCAGAAGUUGGACUGGGCUGAUAUCCUGCACCUGAUCACACUCCCAAGCCAUCUGAAGAAUAUCAAGUACUGGCCAAGGGUAGUGCCAGGUUUCCAGUAAGAACGAGAGAAAAUCUUAUCGUAGCAUUGUCGAAAAUCCUUGGAGGACACGGUUCUCUGACUUCAUCUUCUCUCCUCGCGAUUCCAGGGACUCCCUCGAGGCGUACUCAUCAGAGCUAGAGAGGGUCACCAAGGUCCUGCUCGCAAACCUUUCCCGGUUAAUGAGCAUGGAGGAGGACGGCCUGCUACGGUGUCAUGGGGACUUCACCCAAUCCACGAGAAUAGGUUACUACCCACCCUGCUCCCGGGCAGACGAGGUCCUGGGGCUCGGCCCGCACUCCGACAAAAGUAGCAUCACGUUACUCCUCCAGGACGACGACGUCACGGGGCUUCAAAUCAGACACGGCGGCAUGUGGAUCCCCGUCAAGCCGAUCCCAAACGCAUUAGUGGUCAACGUCAGCGACUCCCUUGAGGUAUCCAUUUUCGAGCUCCUCCGCCGGCUCCUUCUUCGCUCUUACAUUCCUAAAAGACCUCUAUUUUUAUAAAUCUAUGUCCAAAUAUAUCUAUGCAACAGCCUACAUGUUGACAAGCUCGCGGAGAAAUGAAACUCAAUCUACUGGAUCUUGCAGGUGUGGAGCAAUGGUCUGUACAAGAGUGUGCAGCACCAGGUCGUCACGAACAGGGAGAGGGCGAGGACGUCCAUCGCGACGUUCAUUCUUCCGCACAACGACGCGCAGGUUGGGCCGCAGGAGCAGAUGGUGGACGAAACCCAUCGGCCGAGAAGGUAUAAAACGGUCAGGUUCCUCGACGUACUAAAGCACCUCAAUCAAAGGGAGCUCGAAGGAAAUUAUGUGGACGCUUUGGCUCUCCAAGAUUGAUGAACACUCGCUUUGAUAAUCUCCCCAUCGUUUCCAGAACACGUUAAUAACCCAUUUCGGUAUCCUAAUGUAUUCUCGUGUAAUAAGAUUAUGUGGGAAUAAUCGAUGGCUUUUUGGUGGGCAAAACCUUAUACUAUCUUCGUAAGCUGCGGGCGAACUCCCCCAUCUUAUCCUCGAGAUACCACUAUCUAAGGUCCUGAGACCUGCUGGAGGCAUCGUUAAACAUGUCUCUGCGUCAACUGAAGUGCUUGAGGCAACGGUGACGGAACCUCCCAAUACAUGCAAGUGGAAGUAAUCGAGAACAAUAGCAGAAAACUUUGAACCAAGGUCGAUGGAUGGAGGUGGAUAGUGAGGACAUGAGAGAGAGAGAGAGAGAGAGAGAGAGGACUUCAAAAAUUAAGGAUGCAGAGAGAGGAAAUUAAGAAAGAGGUGAAUUAAUGUAUUUCUUUUUUCGCUUUUAGAUUCGAAGAUUUUCCAUACAAUUGUUCAAACCUGAAAUUAUAUUUGUUGGGGCCACCUUGCCUACACCAUUCCCUAUAGUAUUAAUCUUUAGUAAAUCAAUGUAGUGCUGUCGCGUGGAACAUGGAUGAGCAUUAUGUCAUUCCUACAAGCUAUCCGACUUGAAGAAGACAUUAAACAGACAAGCUUCUUCUAUCUUGCCAUAUAUUUCUCACUAUUCAAGCCAACCCUUGUGUUUUGUAAAAUAAUUUUUCUAAAUUCACGGAUCUAGGGAACCGAUCAAGUUGGCUCCCAACUAAUAUUUUAUAUCAGCCAGAGUAUUAGAAGUUUUCAAAGAACCUAAUAACAAAUGAAUGCUCCUGCAAACCUGGCAUCCAGCGGUUGGUUGCGUAAAUAUGGCCUGGAAAUGUUGAGAAUGCUGGCCCCAGUAGACAUGUGAAUCUUACAAAAUCUAAGCCCUGAGUGAUUUUUCCGCACAUGAGAUAUUGAGGAGAAUGUUCCUCCGAGAUGAGCCUUUUUCUUGUUUUUUUUCAAAUGUAACGGCCAAAAGACUGGUCAGACAAUGGCAGUUUGGGGGCAGUGUAUCUUCCUAUCAUUUUGAUAUCAUUCCCCUUAACUUUUUAAGUACGAGUCACAUAUUUCCAUGAAAGAAACAUAGAACAUUGUAGGAAGAUUAGCUCUAAAAAUAAAUUUUAAAAAAACUCUAAAAAUUAUAUUAUAGCAUUUUUAUGCAAUCAAGUAUUUUCGAAAGUCAUAAAGAUGUCAAAAUACCAUGUGACAUAAAACUACCAUUUUACCUAUAAAUAUAUUUUAUUCAUUUUUAGGCUUAUUCUUCCCCAUGAGUUUAGCAGUCUCAUUGUCUGCGAAAUUGAAUUAAAUAUCCUCAUAUUAAAUAGUCGAUUGAUUCUUCCUUAAUCAGGAAGAAAUAAUCCUUCUUAGACCACCCCCCUCCCCCCUCUCUCUUUGUAGAUUCAUAGCUUUAAAAGGCAAAACGAUUAGCCUUCAUUGCACUACUACCUCGUAACUUACGUAUUCAUGGCUUUAGAAAUCAGUUGGAUGCAUCUCAUUACUAUAAAGUUCAAGAAGACUGUCACCGACAUCAUCCGACGAUGAUAUUCAACCAUAAUGAGGAGAUGAUCCAAGGAACUUUGAUGAAGCCCAACGUCAUGAAGAUUGUGAGUAUGAAAACUUGGUGUAACCAAGCACAUGGGAGGUCACCUAUAGAAGCUUAUGAUAAAUACCCUUGUUGCUGCCAUUCGUCCCAUUCUGAUCAGUCUCUCACUAGUUCCAAACAACCAAGUCCAGAGGGUAACGGCUCCUCUGUGUAGAACAAGAUGGUCUAAAAUACAUGCUUGGGCUUCCUUUCCAUUUAUAGGCAUAGACUCUAUCCUUUACUUAUUCUACAUCUAUAGAGAAUUAUAAACCUUGUAGCACUCAAUAAGUAACCCAAUAAAAGGCAGUUUUUGGUGCGUUCAUUUUAGUUCUUCAUGCACUCGAUCUAAGAGAAGAGUCACAGGUUCAUGAGGAGACCUAGCCUGGCAUGUUGCCUCUUCUCACACUCUCAAACGAGCCAAGGGAUCUCAAGUACUAGCUAAUAAUAACGUACUAUUUAUAGUAGUUACGUUGAUAAUUAACACCAGAAUACCCCUUUCUGCUACCUUUAUCUUUUUAUGUGUUCCCAUCUUUUGGUGAUGGUAACAAGUAUUGAUAAAGUGUAGGAGGAUAGGAGAUAAGCUAAUAUAAAAUGCAAAUGUUUAUUUUUUCCUUAAAUGAAAGCACCUAUGGUUGCUCAUAAUUCAAAAAAAAUGCACAUUAAUCCAUGCAACAAAAGUACUCAUAAUUAUGAUUGUUGCUCAAUCCAAAUGUAAAACUCUUCUCUGUUAUCACAUCACUUGUUGAAACUUUUGAUUCUCGAGUUUCUUCACCACCUAUUGAAAAUGCUUAGAAUUUGUCUAAUUUGUUGGGCUACAAUUCAAGUAAAUAAUUAGUCUUAUUUAUACUUAUAAAUGGUCUUGAUGUGCAAUCCCAAUUUACCAAUGACGAAAGAUAAAGUCGGAAGUGCAAUCUCAAUCAUUGUAAAACCUUUAUAACAACUAUUAGAUAUGAGAUCACAAAAUUAACUUGAUUCGUUAUGAAGCAAGCAUUGCUUUAAAUAGAGGUCAACAUUUCUCAUGAGGUGCUUUGGCCGAUUAAGGAGAUAAAACACAUGUACGUCAGGCCGUUGACUUGGAUGUAGCCCCCUCAGACGGGGGAAGUCUUGAACACAGACAUGAGAAAGAAGACAUAAAAUGAACGACUAUAGGAAAGGGAGACAUGAAAUCUCACAGAGAGAGAGAGAGAGAGAGAGAGAGACACACACACACACACACACACACACAAACACACACACAGCAGAAUUAUGGGAAAAAAUUCUAAAUAUAAAAGGAAACAGCAAAUCCCAUGGAUAAGACAACAAGAGGAAAAAUUUAUGGGCUAACCUAGACCACAGCGGGCUCUCCACACGGCGAUCUUUGUACAUCACGCUAAGAUAGUACACUGCGCUUCUCCUUUCAGCCAUUUUUACAAGCAUUUACCCUGCCAUCAGGAGUCACCGUGGGAGCUUGCCCCUCGCCACCUGAAGGACUCAGCCUCUGCAUAAUUUUACUAAACCUCAACUACACAAUGUACAGUUUUCUUUUCUCUCUCUAAGUACACGCCACAGUCUUCUUCUUCAAGGCCAACCAAUCGGCCUCCGCCGCCCUAAGAACAGAAACAUGUAGUGUAGGUAGCUCACACUGGCCUCAGUUAGCUGUACAACCUCCUCCCCCUCCGGUGAUCCACCGCCCUAGGACGACGACUGGAUUCCGAUCCUUCUCUCUGCAACAUUCAACACACAGCGACGAUCCGUUUCAGAACAACCGUGGAAGCGGCGACGUGGGUCGGUCCGCAAAAAGGGUCUGCGGCCGAGAUCGAAUCGGAUGGCUCACGCCAUUAAAAGCUCGUCUGGAAUCAGGCCAUGGAGUCUGGAGACGUACCCCCAGCGGCGACGAGCUUCUCCACGCGGGCAACUAUGUGCUUUCCGUAGGUGUACUUUUUCAGCGCGUUCAGGUGCACCUUGAUGCGGGACAGGAUCAGCUCGCGCUGGUGGUCGUCGCAGGUCUCCAGGACCUUCUGCACCACGUAGUUCCCAAACUGAUCCUUCAUCAUCGCCUGAGACAAGAGCGGCAGAGCUCAGCUUUCUUUCUUGAAUUGGGCAGGGGGAGAGAACAAGAUUAUUCGGAAUAAAUAACGACGGUCUAGAGAGAGAGAGAGAGAGAGAGAGAGACCUGGAGGGGCUCGUUCUCAUCAGUUGACCCAAGCAUCUCGUUCACCAAAAUUUGACGUUCUGCUGGGCUACCGUAGGUCAAACACUUCUCAACAACAUUAGAAGCGAACUUCUGCUGGCUCAUUUGGAUAAUCUGCCCAGCCAAUUUCUUGAUUAUUGCGGAGCGCUCAUGGGGCUUCCCAUGCUCCAGCACAUGCUGCAAACGGGGGGGAGCGAGAAGUCAACGAUGUGAUAGAAGGAGACAGACACCAAGGAGAGCAACAAAGGAGACAGACACCAAGGAGCAUGGUCAAUGAAGCAACACUGAACAUUUCAAAUGACGGCUCCUACAAAUAGGAACUUGUAAUACGCCGUAAAAAAGUGUUCUUAUGGAUCAAACAGUUCGGGGGAAACAAUUUGAAAAAGUAUGGAUCAAAAAGGAUGCAACGUAGACAAAAACUUAAAGAUCAAAGACGGGGGUCAUCGCCCCUUGGAAAAAAAUAUCAUUUUUUUGAAAAAGUAGCGCUGUUACGAACCUGCACAACAUAAUUCCCAUACUGGUCUUCUGCCAACAUGCAGACAGAAUGAAGAAUCUCGUCCAUCAUGAUCCGCUGUGUCUUAGGAUCGUCGCAGUACUCCAACACUCUCUACAAAAAGGGCGAAGAACACUCCCGUAACCAAACUUUACUGGAGAGUAAAAAAGGGGGAAUAAAAAUAGCAUUUUUCAAAAUGAAUUCGCGAACCUGAAUCACACGACAGCCGUAGGGGUGGGUGGAUAAUGUAACAACUUGAUCGUAGAAUGAUGACACGAUGAACUGAAUGGCAUCUUGAGGAAUGCACUCUAUGCAUUUCUGAAUCACAUGGUUUCCAUUUUGAUCCCGCACGCAGCGCAUUAUGUUGCCUUCGAGUUCUGCAACCAUCUUAGUCUGCUGAUCCAAAUCAACAACUUCUAUCGCCUGGAGAGAUAUAAAGCACGGGCAGAGAGCAACUGUCAACACCAGCUUAUUCGGCAGGCAUGCUAAAAUUCUAAAUAGCCGGGCCAUGCUAGAGAAGAUGCCAUACAUCAGGAUCCUCCUAAUAAGUAGAAAAAUCCCAAUAGUAAUUAUCAUGCAGUUUAACAUAGAAACUAUCAAAUAAUAUUGUUCCAAGAAAAAUAAUCUGACAGCUGUCACAAUCUCACAACCCUCGUCUGCUUGCUACAGUUCUACCGCUCGCGCCCAUUUCACCUCGCCUGAAUUUACAGCCACUCUAACAUCAAGAAUACAAGAAUUUCCGACUAGGUUUCCCAACUUUGUUUGUAAAACUAUGGAUCAUAACAUCUGAUGGUAACAAAAUACAAAAAGCCAGAGAAUAAUGUGUCAGUAGUAAAAACCUAUUUAGAACUUUCAGCAUACAUCUGAGUUUGUGUUUUAUUCAAAACUUAAAAAACGUGUGAGUUGUAAGAUCUCAGUGCAAUCUUCUCAGGAAACAACACAAUAACAGUGCGUCAGACUUCGAAUUUCAUCCCAAUCACAGAUCAAGAUGAUAGGAAUUGACUAAUGUAAAUUUACACCAGGUAUGCAACAGUGAAAUCGUCAGAGAGGAUCUUCUGCGGGCAUCAUUUUCCAAAUUACCCAAUCCACAUUGGACCCAAGCCGUUUAGAUCAGAAUCAGAAAAUGACAAAUUCAUCACGCAUGGCAAGGAAUUCAAAUGGCUGGAGAAUUGCGCCUACAACCAAAAUAUCGGGGUCAAAAUCUAGCCAGAAAUGAAGACUAAAUUGAUGUAAGAUGUAUAAGAUAUACAUUGCAAUUCUGAACCAAUUCCUCUCAGUCAGACCAAUCUGUUCCUUAGGAGCCUUAGCUAGAAUUCCAGAAACUGAGGAUGCACAGUUGCAUGCAAUCAAAGAAAGGAAACGAGCACCAAUCACCCCAUCCCCAGCAGCGUCUCCAAGGAUUUAUUAGGCAAUAGAAUAUUUCCUAAUAUUCCUAGAAAAACAAAGGAUGCAAUACCCAUAAACGACGAAAUUGUGGUCAAGAUCCUAACAGCACAGAUCAAAAUAUUUUCUAGUUCAAUUUUUGAAAACAAGUGACUGGACAUCAGUUUUUUCACACAAUCAUGUCAAAAACAAGAUUCAUGAAUGAACAAUAAAAGUGUAACAAUGUACCAAAAUGUUCCUAUCAAUCUUCAUUCGGCACGCAUUUAUGAGAUACUAUCAUAUCAAAACAGGAAAAAAGGCUGUCAUGACAUCCUAUUUACUACACGCAAUCUACUAAUACAGCCACAAAUUUGUCACAAAUCAAUAAACAGCUAAUGAUUACACGCACCAAUUCGUGUCCUUACAAAAUAAAAAGAUAAACGAUUAUGUAGCUAUUAUAUAACAACUGGAGAAACACAGGAAUUACAUUCAAAGGUAGAUACCAGCUAGUCAAAUACACCAUAAACGAAGUUGUGCCCAAGAAAAAAAACGACAUAGUUUAAACUAGAAGGCGAAGAUUGAAAAAUCAUCUUUCAUCAUUAUUUUCAACUCACUAUUCCUCUCUCUUGAGAUUAAAGCGAUAAAUAUUCAACACUAUCAUUUCUUCUGCAUUUGAGAUUCAAAUGUACCUUCACAUGACUAUUUCACUGCCCUGCAAUGCAUUGAGGCACUAAGAUCAUUAGAAAACAAGGCUAGAAUUCAAUUACUACUAUGCCAAAAGUGUCCAUGAUGGGAUUACUUGUCGUAUAUUCACUCGAUUUAAUAUCUAUGUCGUUUUACUUUCAAAAUCUCACCAUCAACGCAUAAAAAUAAAAGUGGGAUGCGUAGAUUCAUUCAGAAAGGGAAAAAACAGGUUUUGACAAGAUAUAAAAAAAUAUUCAUUUACCUUCUGGAUUACUCGACACCCAUACAUUUGAAGACUCAGGGUUAGCACGUGCCCAGUAAGUUGAUCAGCCAAUUCUCUUCUCUGGACUGCAGUUCCAUGCUCAAAAAACUGACACAAUACGUGUUAAAAAGAAGGCAUGAAAGCAAAAAUGGGAAAUAUAUAAAUACAUUUUCAUAAAGCACCUUCUGGAUCACAUAAUUCCCAAAAACGUCAGUCAUCAAUGAAAGCGCUUGCGGCAUUAUCUCUUCAAACACUAUAUUCUUUUCCUCGGUUGUAGCUGUCUCAAGUUUUUGUUGAAUGAAACGACUCCCAUACUGGUCGGCACUGCAUACAAAGAUACUGGUAUUAAUUAGAAUAUAUACUAUCAAGUUUAUUGAAGGCAUAUUGUCCAAGGACAUGCCAUAC
rnacentral:lncRNA from 1 species